rnacentral:lncRNA from 1 species
UUGAUUUAGGAUUUAAGUAAAAACUACUAGUAUUUUAACUAGGAUUAAAAUAAGAUUUGGUUGGAAUUCAUUUAAGAUAUAUUUUGGAUUUUAUUUCAAUACUUCAUUUGAAUUUUUUAAGGAUUUUUUCAUAUUUCUUUUGUAAUUUCUUUGAGGUUUUUUUAGAUUGAUUAAAGCUUGGUUAGCAUUCUUAAGAUUUAAUUGGAUAUAUUUAGAAUUCUAUUAGAAAUAAAAUCUUAUUGUUACAAUACUUCUUCUACCUUCUACAAUUAGAUGCUUGGUACAUUUUCAAGCAAGGCUUCAUGUAAUCCAAUAAUGUAUAAGUUGCUCUGCCCAUUUUGCUCCUUUGAUUGUCUUUUUUGUUACUAAGGCAAGAUUUGGAACCACCAUAUAUAUAUCGAUUGCUUGUGUUGUAUUUGCUUUUUCAUAAAGGUUAUUCUUAUAAGUAAGCUUUUAGCUGUAGAUUGUUUUAUUAUUUCACUUGAUGUGGAGGCACAAAGAAUCACCUUGCAUCCAUCAUUCUUAAAGGACAUUGUCCUUUCUAGCUAAUUAACUUGCUUAUUUUUUACUUCUAGCUAAGGCAUACUAUGAAUAACAUCAUAUCUAUGCUUUGUUACCUUGAACUUCUCUCUCAAGGCAUAGGUGUCAUCCAACCUCAAGGUUUCUUCUUCACAUGUCUUACUUAAUACAUUCUCUUGGUCAUCAACUAGGUGUAUACUUCUUCUUUUAAUCACCUUGAUUUUAAUCCCAAGUUGAUUGGUAAUUUCAAUCAAGGUGUAAUUUUUUUGUAUAGCUACAAUCUAUAAGUACUUGAUAUAGUUACCUUUUUAUUUAAUAUUCUAGACAAAUUAGUCAAUUAUUUUGAUAGUUUUUCAAGGUCAUGCUGUUUGUAUCUAAGAAAUAAUAGCUAUUUCUAAUACUAGAUUUUGAUACUUUUUAUUAAAAAGCCUUGUUUCCGUGUUUUACUUUUUUAACAUCUUAAUGAUCCUCAAGAUUGUGAAUCUACCUUGAUUUGUUAGUACCUAAAUUUUGAUGCUUUGGAAAAUCUCUAAUCUGAUGGCCUAGCUCUUGACAAUAAUAAUACAAUUCCUUUUGUUUCAAUAUUUUUUGCUUUGUGGUGUCAAUGAUCCUUGUAAAACAUCAAUCUCUAUUGGCAUUGAUUGUUAUGUCAUAGUAAUAGAUAGUAGCAUAAUAUUUUACCUUAUAAGUCAUACUCCAUGAUUUAUAAAAUCUAUAGCAUUGAUCCUCUCUGCAAUCCUAAUUGCUUCUUUAAAUGUAUGCAGAUCCUUUAAUUCUAUCCCUUGUUGAACCACAGGUUUCAAUCUUCAUUCAAAUUGUUCUAUCAUCUCCGCUUCUUAAACAUUAUUAAUUUGGAGACAUAGGAGCUUGAAUCAAGAGACAUAAUCUUGCAUUGACUUGGAUUAUAUAAGAUUAGAUAAUUGAUUACGAGCUAACUUCUCCAUAUUGAUAGAUCAAAAUUAAUUUUUAAAUUUGGUCUCAAAUUCCUUUCAGUUACAAAAUCCACCUUAAGCUCCAUAGUUUUGAGCUCAAUGUUGCCACCAAAUGGCUACUGUACAUUUUAAAUAGCUAGUUGCAUAUAUAAUUCCUUGAGUAGUACUUGUCCUAGAUAGUUGGAAGUAUUCUUGAAUACUGAAGAGCCAUUGGCAUACAUCUUCUUGUCUUGAAGUUCUAAAAUAUGUUUUAAACUUGCUUAAUUUCAGUUCAGUAGAUAUCAAUUUUUUUGCUCUAGAAGCUUCCAUUUAUCCUUAUAGAAUAGCUAUCUAGUUUAGGAGAUAUUGCUCCCAAGCUUCGAUCUAGGAUGGCUCUAUUAUAUUUUCCAUACUGCAAUUUCUUUGCCAAAUUUUGCUACCAUAAUGCCCUCUAUCCUUCCAAUUGACUUCUUAAAAGUAGCUUAUGGUAGUUCAUAAAUAGUAAUUAGUAUGACUACAACAAGUGGCCUUUAAUUAUAUAAUUUUUAUUAAUACAUUACCAAAGAAUAGACUAAAACUCGCUCUGAUAUCAAUAAAAUGGUGUCAUAUUAUAAUACAAUUAUAUGAUAAAAAUAUAAUCAUAAAUAAAUUUUUAAUUAAUAUUUAAUCAUCUUGGUUUAAUAAUAAUUUAAGAUAUUUAAACAUGUAAUUUAUAAAAACUUCUUAGUUUAUUUUCUUGUCUUGAUAGCUAAUAGAUUAAAGUUUGAUUAAUAAUUUUACCUUCUAAGCUAUAGAAAUUCUUUUAUUGCCUUGAAAAGGCCAUUAAUUGAUAAAAUCAGAUUAGAAGAGCUAAAUAAUUAGCAUAGUUGAUACUAGAAUUAAAUUGAAGAUAGGAUUGGGCUAAAAAAUACCUAAGAUAAGUUAAGUUGAUACUCGAGAGUCGACUACUUGUAAGACAUGGUCAAAAUUAGACCUCUAGCCUUUAAAAUGACUACCUACAAUAAAAUACGAAGGUAUUUGAAGAUCAAAAAUUAAGAUUAGAGAACUAGCUUUAAGUUGAUUUCAAAGGUAUAAAGAUUAUUUUCAAAGGGUUUGAAAUAUCUUUGCAAUUAUUGUUCAAAAUAGGAAUUGUAUCAGUAUUUUGGAUUUUAUGUAAUACAAUUAUGGCUAGCACUCUCAGCUAAUUCAUACAAUUGGUAUUGCAUCUAUAGUUCAAAAUUUGAAAAUGAUUGGUUAAUUAGGUGUGCUAAAUGUUUGUAAAGUUUUAUACUAAUUUAAUAAUGCAAUUAGGAAAUAUUUGGAUUUUGGUACAAGAAGAUAUUAAAAGUUGGCAAUUUGGAAUUGGAUAGGAUUUCUAUAAUAUCUAGAGAUCUAUUAGUCAGAUUAAGGUAAAAUUUGACAAAGUAUUAGAAGACUUCAAUAUCAAUCUACACAUUGAUAUUGAAUUGAAGUUAAUGGUUGGAAAAAAAAUGGUACUAAAACAUUUUUAUCAACUUUUAAAUUGGUAGCUAAGUGAUAUCAAUGUGAUUUUUGGGAUUUUUCUUACAAUUUAUAAAUUGGAUUGGAUUGAAUUCUUUUACAAUAUAUAAAAGGCUUAUAGUAGCAUUUGUAUAUAAAUUUUUUUAUCAAGUAGACAAUCAAAUUAGGAAUUAUAACUUAUCAAAGUUCAAUAAGUAGGAUUAAAACUUGUAAGGAGAAAUCAAAAUUACCUAAUUAUGAAAGUAAUAAGGCAAUUGGGAUUUAUGUAUGGAUUAGGUUAUUAUGAAGAGUAUUUUUGAGCACUUUUUACUGAUUUUAAGCACUUUUGAAUUAAAAGUUCAAAUUGCAAUCUUCUUAUAUGGAUGAAACUUAUUGAGGUUUCUUAAAUAUUUGUAAGACAAGACUUCACCUUUCACAAUUAGGUGCCCAAUGCAUUUUCAAAUAAGACAACAUAUAAUACAAUAAUAGAAUUAAAUUCUCUUAAAUAUCUAAAAUUCUUCCAAUCUAAAGCAACAUAAAUUCUAUCAUGAAGUAGGACAAAAUGGACCAGAAUAAAAUUGAAUAGAAUUAAAUAAAAUAGAAUAUAAAAGAUAAAACAGAGUACAUAAAAAUAGAAUAGAAUAGAACAAAAAAUACAAACCAAGCUUUAUUAAGAGAGAAGGACCAAAUCCAUAUCUAACCAAGUACUCCAAAUAGCCUUGAUUAGUCUUAUUUAUAAUUUCUUCAACCAUCUUAAAAAAAAUUAGAAUGUUCAUAUUAAUAGGCUUUAUUAAGAUAACUACCUUUUUAGAAUAUUUUAGAGGUGAAUCUCACCUUAGUAACUACCUUUUUAGAAGGUUCUAGAGAUGGAUUCCACCUAAAUAAUUGCCUUUAGUUCUUCUAAGAUGUUCCAUGGUGGAUCCCAUAUGAACCACCAACUUGGUCUCAAAUUCUAAAAACUUCUAAAAACUUCCUAAAAAUAGCUUCAAUUACCUAUCUUUACAUGUCAAUAAUAAAAUUAUCUUAUCUAUGCUCCCUUACAAUAUUUAGGUAUUUAGGAAAUAUUUACCAAGUUAAAAAAAAAAUAUUUGUGAAAGAGAAUGUACAAAGACAUAAAAAAAAUUUAGGAUCCUAUAAAACUUAUCAAGUAUAUUGAAAUAUUCAACAUUGAGAUGGAUUACAUCAAACGUAUUUUUUAUCUUUAUAUUACAAGUGGAUGGUUUAGGAAUUAAACUUUCUUUAACAAUAGUAUAUAAUCUAGAAGAUUAUAGUAAGAGUGAGUAUAGAAAUUCACCUAUUGUUAAGGCAUUAGUAAAGGCAUGCAAUGGCAAAGCAUAGACUACUACCAUUUGCAUUGUUGGCUAAUUAUACAAAACAUAUUUUAAUAAUAUGUUAUAUAUCUUAUGAAUAAAUAUAUAAGUAAAAACUAAUAAUGGCAAUAAAAGAGGUAGUACUUACAUGAAGUAUAUUAUCUUGAAGGAUGAUCUUAAUAGAAAAGAACUUUUAGCAAUAUAGAUUUAACAAUUAGAAAGAAGACCUAAUGAUAUUGAAGUAAUAUUUUAGAAGUUGAAAGGAGCAAAAAAUAGAAAUAAAGAAAGAUUUGAUAGAAAACAUUGAUUACAACUUAAAGCAAUUGAAGGUGGUGAUUGAAUGUUAUUUUAUGAUAAUAGCUUAGUUAAUCAAUACAGCUUAUCAAAAAAGUUUGCAAAGAGAUGAUUUGGACCUUAUAUUUUCAAACAAGUAUAUGAUAAUAAAAUAUACUUAUUAAAACAAAUUGAUGAUAUAGAAUUGAAGAUAUCUAUAGUAUGUACAUAAAUUAAGUUAUUUAAAUAAAGAAAUAAAGAUAUAUGUUUAAAUAAAGAAAAAAAUCCAUUACAAGAAAUUAAGAUGAGAAUAGAAGAAAAAAUUAAAGAUCAAGAAUUUGACCAAGAUGAAGAAUACUCUAUAUUAAUAUAAUGAAGAAAAUUUAACACAUCUCGAAAGAUGUAUAGGUUUAGAAAAGUGGAUGUUAUAAUAUAACAUGGCUACUAAAUGAAAGAAAGAAGAAAAUAUUAUAUUAUAAAAUAUUUUAUUUUAGAAUAUUUUAGCAAAUUAUCCUAGAAAUAUAGAUACUAAUCAUAUUGGAUUAUCUUACAAUUCUUUCAAUUGAUAAGUAUAAUUGAUUUCAUUUUUCAUGUGUUUAUUUUCAACUAUAAUAUUAAGAAGUUUACAAAUUUUAAGUUGAUAUCAAUAAUUUGAUCAUUAGUUGUUAAGGUUCCAUUUUGCUAUAGGAUUUCUAAGAAUUUGUUUAAGAAAUAGGAUUUGAUUAGAUUAAUUAAGUUUAGGAUUUUAUUUAGAACUACUUUAAGAUUUCAUUAAGAUUUGUCUAGGAUUUCAUUAAAAUUUGAUCUAGAAUUGGAUUAAGAUUCAAUUAGGAUUUUAAUUAAGAUUUGAUUAAGAUUUAAUUAGGAUUUUAAUUAAGAUUAUAUUAAGAUUUCUAUAUUUAUUAUUUCUUUAGGAUUCUUUAUUUUUUCUUUAAGUUAUUUUUUAGUAUUUUUUUAAUUUUAUUGUUACUUUUUUAAAUAUUUAUUUUCAUAUUUUUUAAAGAUUUUUUGUUAUUUUACUUUGAAAUUAAAUUAUGACUUCUUUGUAUUUUUUUUUUAUUUAUUUUAAAUAUAUUUUGAUAAAUUUAACUAGAUUUAUUAAGAAUUACUUCAAGUUUAUUUAAGGUUCUAUUAGACUUGGUAGAAUUAUUGGUGCAUUUUUACUUACCUUCUAUAACUAAGUGCCUAAUACGUUUUCAAGUAAGAAUAUACAUAAUAUGAUAUUGUACAUAUAGAUUACACGAACCUCAAGUAUUUUAUGUUGGCAUGUAUUUUUUAUCAUCACCAAGCUCGUUGGACCACAUCUUUAUUAAGAUUUGAUUUCAAGAUCACUUAUUGACUCAAAGAAUAAUAAGGUUUGUCAAAUAUCUUUUUAAAAUAUUUUUUUUUAAUAUCAAAAAAGAAGAUAUAGAUCUUGAUCAAGAAAGAAAUUUUUUCUUAAAGUCAAUGUAUUUUCAUCUUUAAAGAAUAAAAUCAAUAUUAAUUGUUGAUUCAACCUUUUUCAAACGACUUCAAUCAAGAAUGUCCUUUGAUCCUCUUAUUUAUGAUAUCAAAAAUAAUUCUUCUAAAUCUCAUCAUACUUUGAAGUUCAAGUUCAAGAAUAUAUAUUUUUUUUUUAAUUUUAGGAGACAAUUAUACAUUUCAAAAGUUGAAGUAUGAUUAUAUAUUCUUCAAACUCGUCACAACUUUCUAAUAGCUAGACAAUUUAGAUACAAUAAGACUUUAUACCUAAUUUUUAGAGAUUAUUGGUGGCUUCAAAUAUGGAAGGAAAAUAAAGACUUUGUAUAAUCAUGUGACAUUUUUUGAAGAUCAAAAAUUCCUCAUCACCAACCUUAUAGACUACUUUAGCCAUUAUUUAUUUCAAAAGAACCAUGGUCUUCUUUUUCUAUGGAUUUUAUUAUGGAUCUUCUAAUCUCAAGGUUAUAUGAUUCUAUAAUUGUACUAUUAUUUUUUUUUUUUAUCAAAAUAAUACAUUUUUUACUAUGUAUAAAAUCUAUCAUAGGUAAAAAAAUAGCUAUUUUUUUUUUUUUAUAAUAUCUAUCGUCAUCAUGGAUUAUCCAAGGAUAUUAUGUUGGAUAGGAAGAUUCAAUUUGUAUCACGAUUUUUGAAAACCUUUUUUAAGAUUCUAAAGGUGGACAUAGAGCUAUCUUUGGCCUUUUAUUCCCAUAUUAAUGGAUAUAUGGAGUGCAUAAAUCAAAUUUUAGAGCAAUAUUUAAGUUUACCAUCAACUACAAAUAAGAAAAAUGAACAACUUUUUUGCUAUUGGAAGAAAUUGUUUAUAAUAAUAUGAUACAUUUUUUUAUACAAUAUAUAUCUUUCUUUACUAAUUAUAGUUAUCAUCCAUAAAUUGAUACUUUUGACUUCUCAAAAGUUGAUAAUCCUACAACAAAAGAUUUGAAUUUUUUUUUAUUUGAAUUACAUACAAUAAUGAAGGUACAAUUUAAAGUAGCUUAAGAUUAACAAAAGACCAAUGGAGAUGCUUAUUAAAAGGAAUAAUUUCAAUUUCAUGUCAAUAACACAAUUGUCAGGGAUAUGAAUCUCAAAGAAAGAAAAUCCUUGAUACAUUCUUGUGUCACUAAAAAGAACUAAAAAGUCCCUCAAAAGAUAAUGUAAUAUUAAUAAGCAUGGCUAUUGCCAAAAACAAGAAGACUAGAAAGUCUUGAAACAAGACUAAGGACUAGAAUGGAGCAUUGACAAGAGUGAAGAAGGCUUCAUUCUUGCCUCCAUAUAUACUCUUAACUAGGACCUAUGUGGCAAUGUCCUAUAGGACUUCUAAAAUAUGUUGACUUUGCUAGCCACAUGUUUUAACUUGCAAGAUAAGUUAUCUAUGUAUAAACCAUAUUAUUAGCAUGUUCCAUAAAUUAUUAUGUAGAAUUAAUUUGUUCUAUAAGCUACCAACAUGUGGUUAACUUAUUGGUCAUGUUUCCAACCUACAAACACAUCUAAAGUCAAAACCACAUCUAUGAAGCUUCUAAAAAGCUUCACUAAAAGAUUUUAUGAAAUUAAUCUAUAUUCAUCUAUUUCUACCUAAUCAUAUAAAUAAUUAUUGAGGUAAAUGUAUAUGUCUAUGACAUUAUCCUCCCUUCUAGAGACAAAUUCCAUGAGGAGCGAUCUUCAUAUGUUGAAAAAGUCUAAGAUAUGGAAAAUUAUAUUUGUCACAUACUUUGAUCUUUGCUUUCUUUGAAGAUGGUUAAUAUGCCCUCUCAGCUAUCAAUAGUGUUCUAUACUAGAGCGAGAAGACCACCCUAUUAUUUGAUUGUUGUUGAUGCCUUUGUAAAUUCUUUCAAAUAAAAUAUUUGGAACACUAUUAGGACUUGCUCCUACCUCUAAUAAAAUCACCAAACAAUGGGAGUCUCUUCCAAGGUUGUGAUACAAAACACAUUCUAUUUGAAAAAGGAUAUGUCGUUCUUGAGGAUCUUUAUUUCAAUUUUGUCAUCUUGAAGGUUGUUACAAUCACAAUGUCUCAUUUGAUAAGUCAACAAAUAAAAGCUCUUAAGUUGAAUCUAUUGGUUGUUGGUUCUCUAUCUUCUUAGUAUUACAAAUACACACAAGCUAUAAAGAAAGAUAGGAGGUAGAAUGUUAUCUUUCUUUGCUUUUUUUUCUUUUAUAAUAAAGAUUUUCUAUUCUUCAUCUUAAUUUUCAUGGAUUUCAUUGAUAAAAAGCUUCAACUUUCUUUGUUGCAUUUGCAAGCUUCUUUGAUGGCUUCCAUGUGCAUUCACUAAUAUCAUAUCUGUACCAAUGAAUAAGGUAUUCCAACCUAUUUUGGCGUUGUUUUAAGUCUAAGACUUCUUCCACCUCAAAUUCUUGAUUAUUAUCUACUUCUAUAAGAGGAGGUGUAGAAUAGGUAAAUAAACUUUGUGGUAAGUUACUUGUUAGUUAUUGAUAACCUUAAAAAUUAGACUAAUGGUAAGGCAGUUUAGUUGGUAACAAUAGGUUGUUAGUGGAAUAAAUGGUUAAGAAUUCAAAGGGACAUAACCUUUGAAAUCCGUAGGUCGACAAAUUAUUUUUUUGGUAGCAUAAAUAGGUUGAGGAAAGAGCCAUCGGGGCCAGACUGUGAGAGUCGUAAGCCGGGAUAAGCUUGAUGCUACCUCUUUGUUUUCUUUGCUUUUAUUAUUUGCUUAUGAAGAAUUAUAAUUGAGAGAAGUAUUGUUGAAUUAAUAGCUGUAGAAUGGAUUAAGUGUUGAAUCAAGAUGGAAGUAGUAAGCCUUGGUAUUUUGUAGUUUGAUACUUGAUUUCAGAUAGCCAGAAUACAGUCAAUUAUGACACUAACAGACCCAAUUCAUAUAACUAGUCUUUUCUCGUAUUCAAACCCACCUCUAUCAGUUCAAUUGCUUUGAUAUAUUAAAGCUUGAACACAACGAGAAUAACAUUUUGGCGCCACUGUCGUGGAAAUGAUAACAAUAUGAAAUGCUAGAAAUUGAUUGUAUGGAAGAUGGAAUUAUAUAUUGAAUGAGAUCGUGAAAAGAAUCAAUUUUAGGGUUAGAAAUAUGUGAGUUAUAAUUCAAGGCAGUAUUGAUUUUGUCAGAAAGAAUGAAAGAUUAUGAGUGAUAAUCAUAAAGAGGAGGAUUAUCAAAGAAUUAAUUGACAAGCAAAAGAAAGACAGGAGUCAUUACGCAUAAAAAUUAUCCUACAGGAACGACAAAGAAUUGCAGGUCGAAGAAAAACCAAAGGAAGAAAAAUUCAAAUUCAAAUAGUAAGGAGACCAGUGAUAAUACCAAUGGCCAAAAGUAGGAGUGCCAAAAGUACCAAUUGCAGUACAAAUGGGAGCAGUAAGAGACCGAACUACAAGUGUGGCACCAUUACCUACUUUUAGUAGUUGGCUGGGCUCUGAAUCUGAUCACCAUAUAUCUCAAUUCUUAACAGCUUGUGUAGCUAAUAAUGGUAGAACUGAAGACAUUUGAUUGAGAUGGUUGCCAACAACUUUAAAAGAUAUAGCUUUUGAAUGGUAUAUUUGGCAAUUAGUGGGUAGAUUUCCUAAUUGGAAGGCCUUGAGGAAUGCCUUUCUAAUCCAUUUUAGACCAAUUAGAUUUGAAGAUCGGCUUCGAGAAAGUUUUAUGAAUAGCAGGAUGUUUGCGAAAGAAUUUGUAGAGUCUUAUUAUGGCCGGAUCGUGGAUAUUCUUCGUAAAUGGUCAAAUAAUCAAAUUCUAGAUGCAUUUAUAUUGUCGAUAUUAAUUAACAGUUUGCAUCCACCAAAAUUUAAAAUGUUUAUAAAAGAGGCUCGACAAGCUAUGGUAGAGGCAUCGUUGGCACGAACAAAGAUGUGGAAAGAAUGUUAUUAUGACCAAUUAUUAAUAAUGGAAGCCACGAUGAUUCCAAAUUCAAGAAGGCAACAAAUAUAAUCGAAAAAUGUGUCGAUGAUAAUUAUCUACAAAUGGCUACCUCCAAUAAGAAGAAUGUUAUGUUGCAACAACCAAUUAAUACUACACCACUCUAAGAAAUAGUGCCAAUAAUGAUGACACCUUAUUUUACAUUGUCAACCUAUCAACAACUGGAGUUGUUCACAAAUGCAACUAUUAAAGAUCCAAAUGAAGCCUUAUUAUUAAAUCUAACAAAGAAGAUAGAAGAAUUGGCCUUGAAUUUGGCUAAAGAUAAGGAGAAACGACAUAAGCCUUCUAAUAAGAGACCUAAUAUAUAGUAUAAUAAUUGUAAGGAAUAAGGUCAUUUUGAUAUGGAAUGUCCAUCACCUAGACAAACAGAUGUUCAAUAUACAUUUUGUGGAGGAAAGCACCCUACUCAAAACUGAUGGCAUUUACAAAGGCAACAACAAUUCAGUAAUCAGCCAUGAUCCCAUUGACUCUAUAUUGUCAUACACAAUUUUAUUGGGUUGACCGUGGUUGUAUCAAGCUAAAGCUCAAAAUGAUUGGGCCGUGAUACAUUGUGAUUGCUCGUUUUACUUAUUCCAAAAGAAACUUCCUAGAAUAAACCCGUAUAGGGGGAUUUGAAAACAGGGAAUGACUAGUUGCUUAAGUGUUGACGUUAGGGUCACACAAUCAAUUACUUCCUGAAUGUAUCAUCUCUAUUUCCAAUAUCUGAACACACAAAGAAAGUAUAAUCUCUUCCUUCACCUUAUCGGUCUCUUCCUUAUAACAAUUCAGUCAUAGCAAUAACUGCUAUUUCUACCAAUAUAUUCACCCUCAUAAUCUCCAACUAUAAUACUACGCCCUGACAGCUUUCAGCAUACAAUUAUCCUCGUUCCAAUCACUGGAAUUCUUCACACAGAACUGUCAUUCACAUUAGAGUGUUUCACACAAACACAGACUCAUUCUCUCUAUUGAACUACAAUCAAAUUUCAACAUUUAAUCUUUCUUCUUCUCAAAUAAUACCAAUUACAUUUCCAUUCCAUAAUUUACUUUAUAAUAUUUAGAAACUCUCAAUCUUCUUAUUCAAAGAAAAUAACAAACAAAAGAAAAGAGGUAGCACCAAACUUACCCCGGCUCACACUAUCAUAGCGAUGGCACCUUAAUUAACUUCUACAACUCCUAUAUACUUUUCUCUGAUUCUCCAAAUUCUAAUCGUAAUUCUGUAAUUGACCACUUUUAAUAACUAAAUCACUCAUCCAUCCUCCUGAAUUUCCUAUUAUAUGGACUAUUAAUAUAUUUUAUCAAUAUCUUUCAAAAACGAAUUAAUAUCUAUUCUACAUAGUCCCACUCCUAUCUGUGCAGCAUCCUCACAAACACUCAAUUGAUACCUAUCUAAAAAUUAUCUAACAAAACUCUACAAAAAUUGCGAUUCCUCUGGCCUAUCUAAUUAAUCAAUUGCCACAGUAUCUAUUAUUGGUUCUACCGAUUCUGGUUCCAACUGCAAAUCUUCAUCCUCCUCCAAUCCUUCCAUCAGCUCUUGUCUCAACUGAGCUGAAAGGUCUUCAUUAUACUUGCCCAGUUCACGGACUUGAGUUUCUAAUUUCAGGAUAUGGGCAUCUCUUAAUUCAAAUUGGCACUGAAAGUGACUCCUCUCUUCUGGAACUUCGGGAACUGGCAGCGUCGAUACUUGUGCUUCACUAAUAUUGACUAAAUCCUCUGCCAAUCUUAUCACCUCGGCAUUCAAGGCUUCAAUUUCAUCCCUUAACCGCUCUAUUUUACAUCUGUAUUAAUCACUCAAUACCAAUUUCUCUUGCGCCAAUAACUCGACCUUUACUCGUUCCAUUACCAAUUGAUUCUUCGCUUUUUCUAGUUCCAAAAUUGAAUUACUGCGAGCCCGAAAUAAUUCUUGCUUAUAGGUCUCCACCAUGCGUUCUCUUUCUUUGUUCCAAGCUUCUUGUUGUUCCCCAAUUUUUUGCUCCAAUAGCAGCUUGGAUUUCGCAUUCGCCUGGGUGAUCCGUUCUUGCUCUUCAAUUCUUUGGGUUUGCUCCAAUAUCACCUUUUUGCUUGCCUUUAAUUCCUCUUUACCACUGUCCUCUAUAUCCAAUGCUCGUACCAUGCAAUGUAUUUGUAAAAUAUACUUCAAUAGAGUAUUUUUAAGAUGUACACCUUCCGAUAGUCGGCCCUAUGGAAACGCUAACUGAUUGAUAUCUAACAACAUCGGGAUUUCAUUCUCCUCCUCCACCAUCGAACAAAUCGGAUCAGUUUCCAGUGCCAAUAGACGAUUGGAUUCUCCAAUUUCAUGUAUUACCUCCGUUGUAUUGACAUUUGGUGCCAACGAAUUCUGUUCUCACUGCGGAGGCAUUGGCACUAGUUCAAAACUUUUCUCUACUGGCGAUGUUUGCCGCAAUAUGUAUGCGAUCACAACAUACACAUAAUUGAAACAUAACAACACUAUAAACUUUCCUAUUUUGUGCUUGGCUCCCAUUUCCACAUGAAUACAGGUUGCUACAUAAGCUGCCCAAUUGAACACCAUCCCUUCAAACGUCCCUACUGCUGCAAACAUUAACUGUCUUGACAUAUAUGUGUUGUGUCGAUACAACCCUAGACACCUCACCAUGAAGAGCAACCAUUCCAUGAGCUCUGGUGUAAUUGCCUCAAUCGUUUUCCAACCUUGGUUCUUUUCAAACGAUGACAUACCACCUUUGAAAUAACUUCUCAGUCGGAAGUCACUAGACUCCUCAACAUCCACCGUAAUCUCUCCAACUGGAAGAAACAGUACUUUUUUGAGGAUCUUCUCAUCAAUACCGAUAAUGUGCCCUUAUACUACGCUUGAUCCAUCUUAUGGAUCAUAGUUUGUAAUGUAUUCUUCUACUAAUGCCAUAUUAAUUGAAGGUAAACUAUUUGAUCUUCGCAAAAAUUGAAACAUUUGUACCUUUCAAAAAUCUCGUAUUCUCCUCGAUGUCCAGCAAAUCUCUAGCUUCAUAGGCUCUAUAUUGGUAACGAUUACUACGGAUGGUGGUUCUAAAUUACAUUUAGCUUUUAUAUUUUGGCCACUUUCCUCUCUGUUCGUAGCUCUCUUUGCACUCUCAAUCGCCAUGACGUACACUCUUUUAAGCUCUAACCGUCAAUACUACGCUCUAAUACUCCAAAACACCCAAAAUUGUAACACCAAAAAGAAACAAUAACAGAAUACCAUACCUGAGAAUGACCGUAAAUGAAUGCCUUACUCCUAUUCUUUUAUCUAGUGGUGAUAACGACAACAUGUUACCCUUACUGUCCGUUUCUCACCUCCUUCCCAUCUGACACAUUAGUAAUUACUAACUAUCCUUUCAACUGCCUCUACACUCUAACGCACUUAAUUAGAUCUAUUCUAAGUACAUUCAACGUGACCUCCUCCAGAAAUUAAAAAUCCAUCUUGGAUUUUAUGUAUGAUAUAAUCGUAAUCGGUUCCCGUUAAUGCGGGUACUGAAACAAUGAUCCAUGAAAUCCUCCAAUUGAACAAAUCCAUUGGAAAAUCCUUCAAUUACACAAUAUGGCCCAUGCCAGCGAACUUGAAAUUUGUCCAAAAAAUGAUUAAAUCUGCUAUCAUACAACAAUACGAAAUCAUUGGGCAUAAAACUCUUCGGACGCAGUUUACUAUCAUAGUAACUCUUCCUCCGUUUUUGAGUUGCUUCCAUGUUGAAGAAAGCUGUAGCCCAUAUUUCAUCCAAUAUGUCCAACUCUACCAACUGAUAUUGGAGUGAUUCCUUAUUUUUAAGAGGUUCAUCCAGCGCAAUGCGCAAACUUUGAACUUCUAAUUUAAUUGGUAAUAUUGUUUCUUGUCCAUACACCAAUUAGAAUGGUGUGGAAUUGGUAGUCACUUUAUAUGCAAUACGAUACGCCCACAAUGUCGCAAACAAUUUAAUAUCCUAAUCCAUUCCCGCACCCGAAAUUAUUUUGGUUAAAAUCUUACAUAGAAUACUAUUGGUCUUUUCCAUCUGCCCAUUGGCCCGAGGAUGAUAUGGUGUUGUUUUCCUGUACUUGAUUUCGUAUGUGUUCAUCAAGGUUGCUAUGGUAGUAUUUAUGAAAUGGGUGUUGCGAUCGCUAUCCAAUUUCUUUGGAUACCCAAAUCGAGUAAUAAUAUUCUCGUAUAGAAAAGUGGCCACCGUACUAGCAUUAUCAUUGCGGGUAGCAAUAGCCUCUACCCAUUUGGUUACAUAGUCCGUGGCGACUAAAAUAUACUACUUUUGUCCAUGUCUCGAUGUUGAUGCAAUGGGUCCAACAAAAUCAAUUCUUCAUUUUUCAAAUAGUGUCUAUGCCAAGAUUGGUACUAAUGGCAUCGCUGAAGUACCCGUGGGUCGACCAAUUCAUUGAUAGGGAUCACAACGACAAACAAAUUGGUGCGCAUCAGAAAACAUUGUGGGCCACUAAUAUCCGACCAAUAAAGCCUUGCGAACAGUACUGUCUCCCGCGAAAUGUCCACCACAACUAUCCAAAUGACAUCCCUCUAGUAUCGAUUGUACUUUACUGAGAAAGAUGCAACGGUAUAGAAUUCCAUCCUGGCCUUGCUUAUACAAGGCGUCUCCCAUCAUCGUAUACGGUGCACUUUUUAAAAUCAAUCGUUUCUUGAGUUUCUCACUAUAUGUAGGUGGAAAUAUCUGAAAUGUCAGAUAUUGAAUCAAUUGACUAUAGUCGAUUGUAAUCACUUGGAUGGCAAAUAACUACGUGUCAAGAAGUGCAUCACUAAUAGGCUCAUUACCCAAGAUAUUGGACAAUCGAGACAAGUGAUCUGCAUUGGCAUGUUUCUUUCCUAGUCGUAUAUUGAUAGUAAAAUUAAAUUCUUGAAGUAAUAACACCUAUUGAGCAAUGCGUCCACUCAAUUGAGGCUUAUUAAUCAUGUAUUUGAGGGCAUCAUGAUCCACAUAAAAGACAAAGGGAUACCCAAUUAAAUAGUGCCAAAAUUUUUGAACCAAGUAUAUCAUAUCCAAUGCUUCUAGUUCAGUAGUAGUGUAAUUACGUUCGGCAUCUAUCAAUUGCCAACUAGCAUAAUAGAUAGGAUGAUCAAGACCCUUGAUAUCUUCUAACUUAGCACCGAUCCAAUAGCCACAUUGGGUGCAUCAACAUACACAUGAAAGGGCUCGGUCCAACGAGGGGCCACCAAUAUUGGUACAGAGACCAAUUUUGACUUCAAUGCUUCAAAGGCCACAAUACAUUCCAUGGUCCAAAUGGGACUAGUUCCAUCUAAUGGAGGUUUCUUCAGUAAGUUCGUUAAAAGUUGACAAAUAACUACAAAUGACCAAAUAAAUCGUCGAUAAUAACUGACAUGGCCGACAAACCCUCGAACACCGAAGACCGUCUCUGGUUUGGACAAGUUCAUUAUGUAUGUCACUUUGUCUGGAUCCGUAGCGAUACCAUGGCUAGAGAUGAUAUGUCCCAAUGAUUUUCCUGACGGAAUACCAAAUUGACACUUAUUCGAGUUCAACGAUAUCCCAAACUUAGUACACUAAGCCAAGCAUUUGUCGAGACAAUUAAAUUGAUCUUGUUUUGUACUGAAUGCAUAGAAGUCAUCUAAAAAGAUCUCCAUAAACAGUCGGAGAUAGUCAUGGAAGGCCUAAGUCAUCACUCUCUGAAACGUGGCUGAGGUGUUACAUAACCCAAAAGACAUCAUGCGACAAGCAAAUGUGCCCCAAUCUAUACUAAAGAUCACCUUGAGCUGGUCCUCCGUUGCAAUUUGAACCUGAUUAUACUCGGAAAAUCCAUCUAGGAACGAAUAACAUUCAUGACCUACUUCAGCAUCCAAUAUACUAUUUGUGAAGGGCAAUGGGAAGUAAUCUUUCUUGGUAGCCGCAUUAAGUUUCCGGAAAUCCUGACAAAUUCAGAUUUUUUCAUUUUUUUUUGGUACCAUCACGAUUGGAGAAACCCACUCACUAUUUGAUACUAGGUAAAUAAAACCAACCACAAGAAGCUUGUCCAAUUCUUCCUUCACCAUGAGGAAAUAUUUAGAAUUAAGGCGAUGUUGCCUCAGCCGUACCAGUUUAGCGUUCUCUUCUAAAAUGAUAUGAUACUCACAGACUUCAGCGGGAAUACCUUUUAAAUCAUCACAAGUUCAAGCAAAAGCGGAUUUAUGAUGCAAGAAAAAUUCGGUCCAGCAGGUCAACUCCUGUUCCUUAAUACCUUCGUAGACCUUAAUUGUCCGAAGUUGUGCUGUGGUCGCCAAGUUGAUAGUUUGACAUAAAGAUGCAAUGGCGAUGUUCUAUUUCAACCCCCGCGCUGGUUUAAAGUCAAUCGGUAAGUUUGACAUAUAUGAAAUACUGAAUCCUGUGUCCAAGGCACUAACAUGGUGCACAUCAUAUUUAGUCAUCCAAUCAGUACUAACAUAAUCCGAGUUUUCCAAGUUCGUCAGGUAUAUCAAAUACUCUUCCAGACCUCCACAUUGGUACACCACUCCAGGGUGUAGUGCUGCCUCUACGGGCACCUCCGUAAUCGAUGCUACUGCAUCGUCAUCGGAGCUAAGCUCAUUAUCCAACAUUAAUUCAGAUGCUGACAAUUGAGACUCCUUGCGAUAGUGUUAUGGGUACAUUUGUAACACCAUUUUGUCUCCGUCCUUACCAAUUAUCAAAGUACCCCGACCCCAAUCAUUCUUGGCCUUUGCUUGAUAAAGCCAAGGUCGUCCUAAUAAAAUUGGAUACGAUAAAGUUGAACAUUGUAAUCGAAAGAUGAUAUAGUCGAUUUCAUAUGCAAUACCGACAAUCAUAGUUUGAAUACUCCGUAAGAUACCCAUUGGUUUAAUCCGGACAUGAUUUGCCAUCUCUAAUACCAAUAUCAUGGAUACUAAGUGUUCCAAAUCUAAAGCAUCCAUUGUAUGAGCAUUCAUUAAAUUGACUCUGGAAACACCAUCCACCUGAACACCCGAGAUCAUAACACCAUCAAUCGAAACAUCGAUGGUUGGUGCACUUGAGUCAAGGUUCAAACUAACUUCACAAACUUCUUUAUUACGAUGCCUUUGUCGUGUUAAUGAUGAAUUCAAUGUAGAACGGUACUCUGGUGCGACCGCUAGAAGUUGCUUCAUAGAAAUAGAAGGCCGAAUAGCAUCUAGAUCCUUCAAAAUAUCAUAGGGUUCUAUACUUAGGAUAAUUUUCAAUGCUCUUUUUUUUUUCAUUGGUUUGAGUUUAACUGUGUGAGGUAAGAUAUUUUUCUGCCCUAGACUCGGAAUUGAAACAACAACUGGGGCUUCCUUGGAAUUCCCGCCUCCAAGAGGAUCUUUCAAUGGAUAGGACGUUUCUCAGAACUGUGUAGAAAUCAAAACUGCUUGGAACGGAAGCGAAGCCUCCGUAAUUGGGACCUCAUUGGGUUGUGCCACCAAAUCAAGUCUCAUACUGGGUAUGAAGCCCGUAAUAGGACCUGGAUUGGAUGGUCCCUUAAUUGGGUCAAAUUGAUCUUUUGCAUCACGAUUAUCCAAAUAUUGAAUUGAUCCUUUUUCUUUUUGGUACUGAGGGAACUUGGUUUGAUGACGUCAGUGGAACAUAUUGCUGAUACCUUUGUUGCUCCUUACCAUAGUUCUGGGGGUUUGAUGCAGACCUCUGAUUAAAAUUAAAACUUUGAAAGUUAUUGAAUGCUCAAUUUUGUCGAUUAAAUCGAUUUCCAUUCCAUCCAAACGUAUUUUCCAUUUGCACUUGAUUGACGUCCUAUUGGGUUGGUGGGAUCAUGGUCUGAUUACUAAAUUGUUGUUGUUGUCUUUGCCAAUUCCAAUAAUUUGCUGUUAGGUGCUUUUCUCUAUAAAAUGUACAUUAAUCCAUUAUUUGUGAUGGUGAGGGGCAUUUAGUUACAGAAUGACCAUGGCCCUUACAAUUACUGUACCAUACAUUGGUCCUAGUAUUGGUAGGCUUUUACUUCUUCUCCUUAUUUUUGGCCAUAUUGACGGCCAUUUUCUCCAUUUUCUUCGUCAAAUUCAAUAACAAGGUUUCAUUGGAAUCUUUUAGGGCUGGCAUUAUUGAUAUCUCUGCUGUACUUAAUACUUGUUGUUGAUACAGAAAAUAUGGAGCAUAUGCUGUUGUCACGUUCGGUGGUAUAGCUUGCAAUGGGGUGACAUUAACUGGCCCCUGAAUAUUGGUAUUGGAAUUGGCCCCUCUUUCCAACAUCCGUGGAUAACUACCCACUGAUUUGUUCCAAGUCGGAUUUUGAUAUCUACCUUGAACUAGAAUCAUUGUGGCUCCCGCAGUUAAAAAUUGAUCAUAAUGGCAUUCCUCCCAAACCUUGGCUCUAUUAAGGGAUGCAGCCACCGUAACAAAUUGAGCUUCCUUUACAAACAUUUUUAGCUCUGGUGGGUAUAAACCAUUGAUUAAUAUAGAUAAGAUAAAUACCUCCAGUAUUUAGUGAUUCGGCCACUUAUUGAGUAUAUCAGCCACUCGACCAUAGUACGAUUCCACCGCCUCCCUGUAGAAUGUAUAAAUGACUUUUCUGGUUCGUUAUCGGUUAAAUAGUAGUAAUGUUGGAAUUUAGAUGAAUGGUUAGUUUGAUUAGUUGUUAAUAGUAGGAAGUUAGGAACAUAUGUGGUUAAGAAGCCAAAGUUUCACAACCUGUGGAAUCUGCUGAAUGACGAUUCAUAUUUUGGUAGGAUAAAGAGGUUGAGGAAGAAGGAAUGGGGGCCAGACUGUGAUAGUCGUGAGCCAGGGUAAAGCUUGGAGCUAUCCUUUUGUUUUCUUUGCUUUUGUGUUUUUCUUUAGUAUUGGAUUUAAGAAAAGAAUUGCUAAAACUGUGAUUGAGAUAUUGAAAAUUAUGAAUUCGAAUUAAUUAAUUUGGAGAAAGAAAGUGUGAUUGUGAUAAUAGAGAUUAUUGCAUUGUAAUAGUAGCACUAGAAGAUUGAAUAAAAGUAAAGGAAUUGAGAAUUGAAGUAUUGUGGAAAGAGAUUAAGCAUCCCGUAGAUGUCAGGAAUGUCAGUGAUAUUGAGUAGCUGCAAGGCAAUGAACGAUUGUAGAGAUUGUGAAGGGAUUGAAUUGAGAUGAGGAAGAGAACUUUGGAAGUUUUAGAUAAUUAAUACAUAAUCAAUUGUGACAUAACAUAUCCAAUUCAUACAACAAGUCUUUCUUCGAGAUCGAACCCACCUAUACUGAUCAAAUAUCUUGGUCUUUUGAGUCCAAGUCAAACGACGAUUACAUUUUUGGCACCGUUGCCGGGGAUUGACAACAAUAUGAAAUGUUAAAGAAUUGAUGGUACAAAAGACGAGAUCGAAAAAGUAUGAGCGGUGAUUAUGACUAUAAUAAUCACAAAAGGAAUCAACAAGUAAAGGAAAGACAGGAGCGAUUUUAUUUCAAAAAUUUAUUACGACAACAACAAGAAGGGAUUCAACGUAAGAAACAUUGAUGGAGUUGGAUAAAGCCGUGGCUGCAUGCAUGUGCGACUAUUCAAGCAUAUCCAAGUUCUGAAAGAAGUACAAUAUUGUACCAUUAUAUACCAUUGGAAAAAUUACCGCGAGCGCUUGUAGGAGAUACCGCGAGUAACGAAGCGUCAGAGUCAAGUUCAGUAAUUAUAAGAAGUUUAAGUACAGAAGAAUUGAAUAAUAGCGAUAGUUUACAAGAAAGAAGACUGAGCAAAUAUCAAAUUGGAACAAAAAGAAGAAUUCAUAUUAAUAUAGCAAGAAGACCAGCGCAAGCACCAAUGGCAGAAGUACCCGUAGUGCCAAUAGCGGUACAGAUGGGAGCAAUUGGAGAUCGCACCACCAGCGUGGCUCCAUUAUCCACGUUUAAUGGAUGGCCGAGUUCUGAUCCCGAUCAACACUUGUCCCAAUUUUUGACAGCGUAUGUAGCCAAUAAUGGCAAAACUGAAGAUGUCUGGCUGCAAUGGCUGCCAGCGACUUUAAAGCAUACAGCAUUUGAAUGGUAUAUUUCACAACGAGUGGGAUAAUUUCCUAAUUGGGAAGCAUUGAAAAAUGCUUUCUUAACUCAUUUUCGACCAAUAGGAUUCGAAGAUCGUCUUCGAAAAAAUUUGCUGAACAGUAAAAUGUUUGUGGGAAAAUGGGUAUAGUCGUAUUAUGGCCGAGUUGCAGAUAUAUUACGUAAAUGGCCAAACAAUCAAAUGUCAGACGCGUUUAUAUUGUCAAUAAUAGUGAAUGGGUUGCAUCCUCCAGAAUUGAAGAUGUUUGUUAAGGAGUCUCAACCAGUUACGGUAGCUGCCUCCUUAGCACUUGCAAAAGUGUGGGAGAAGUGCCAUUAUGAUCAACUGUUGAUGGUGGGAACCACAAUGAUUCCUAGUAUAAGAAAUCAAGUUCCAAUGACUAAUACGAUGAUAGGAAGCUACCCACGAUUGAUUGCGCCUAGUAUGAGAAAUCCCAAUUCUCAAGAAGUAGUUAAUGCCACUCCUUUGCAGGCGAUACCACCCGUGGCAACUUAUCCUUCGCCAAUGGCAUAUCGACAAUCUGAAGUACCGAUGAAUGCAACAAUUAACGAUUCUAACGAAGCUCUAUUGUUAAAUCUAAUGAAGAAAAUGGAAGAAUUAGCCGUGUAUAUGACUAAAGAUAAAGAAAAAAAGCAUAAACCUUCUAAUAUGAGACCUAAUGUAUGGUGUAAUAAUUGUAAAGGACAGGGACACUUUGAUACAGAAUGCCCCUCACCUCAUCAGAAGAUAGGACAAUGUAUGUAUUGUGGAGGAAAGCAUAACACUGCCAAUUGUUGGUACUUACCAAGACAACAAACAAUGAUACAACCAAUUGUAUGGGAUGUAAAUCAAGUGCAAACAAGAAAUACGGGUGGAUGGAAUGGAAAUAGAAAUAAUAGAAUGAAUCGUGGUUUCGGAAAUUUCCAAAAUCCUAACUAUAAUCAGCCCUACGGGACCAAUAUGCAGAAUGGUGGCCAAAAUCAAAUGGGAAAUCAACCAUCGAUGCCAAUACAACAAACCAAUUCAGCAAUGGCGACAACUAGUCAACCUGGAUCCUUUACUGCACCAACAUGGAACCGACCUGGAAGGUAUGUGCUGACGGAGACCUCCUAUGUACGUGACGGGACAGGAAGAAAACCAAUUCGUUGUUUUCGAUGCCGCCAAUUGGGUCAUUAUGCAAGUGAUUGCAACAACCCAAGAUUUUUCGAAGAAUACGCACCUCUUUGCGCAAAUUGUAAGCAAUCUGGUCAUUACCACUACCAAUGUAAUGUGCCUUUUAAUCCAAAUAGUAGGGACCAGCACAUGACAUCAACAGUGUAAAUUAUAGAAGAAACAAACAAACCACAGGAAUCAUCGGUACAUCAGGUGGAAGCAAUUCACGCAGAAUUGACAAGAAAUCAGCAAAAAGGCAAAGAACCAAUUCAAAUAUUAGAGAAAUCGAUACCAGCCCCGGUCAACAGAUCAAUACCAAAAUCUGCUCCAUUAUUGGACGAAGCGUCACCGUCACAAUCCAAUUCGACCAAUAUAUUGGUGCAUCCACCAAUUUCACAAGUACCAAUAUUACACCAAUAUGGUGGACAAUCGCACCAGUUAAAGGAUCCAAUUUUCAAGGAGCAGUUGCAACCAAAAAUCGAGGAAGUACCAAUUCCUGAUAUUGGAAGUAUCAAUAUACGGGGACAGGGAUCCGAAAUCCGUAAGAAAAAAAAGACAUUGAAAAUCAUGACCAAUAUGGAACCCUAUGAUAUUCUGAAGGAUUUAGGUUCAAUUCAACCAACAAUCACAAUAAAGCAAUUAUUGGCAGUAGGACCAGAAUGACGUAACACCUUAAACUCUUUUUUGAUUCGAUGAAGAACUCGUCAAAAAGAAAUUCGUAAAGUCAGUUUGAAUCCGGAUCCAGGCGCGUUGACUAUUGAUGUAUCAAUUGAUGGAGUAUUAGUUCAGGGUGUACAAGUGAAUGGCGGGGCUAGCGUUAACUUCAUGAAUGUGGAUACAAUGGAAGAAUUGGGAUUGGACCAAUUAAUGCCAACUACGGUUGUUUUGCGAAUGGCAGAUUCAAGUCGAGUCCAACCAAUGGGUACUUUACGAGGAAUUGAUACAAUUGUUGCGAGGAUUACAUACACAAUUGAUUAUAUUGUAUUCCGAUUGCAAAGCACAAUAUUGUCAUAUCCAAUUUUGUUGGGUCGACCGUGGCUAUAUCAAGCUGAAGCUCGGAACGAUUGGGGUCGUGGAUCGCUAACAAUUGGAAAGGGUAAGGAUAAAAUAGUGCUCCAAAUGUAUCCUGUCCAGUAUCACGGAGAAACUCAAACUACCAGUCCAAAAUAUACAUCGGACUGCGAACAAGAGUAUAUGGAAGAAGAACUGGUUGUUUCAAAAUCAAAGGCUGUCGAGGCAUGGGAAGUUGCAGUACAAAAUAGGAAUAUUUACCAUUGUGGAGGAUCAGGAGAAUAUUUUGUUCCUCUAGACGUUAUUGAUGAUUCAGAUCAUAUGAUUGUACACUGGAUGCAGCGAAGAGAUGUUAAUCAAGUUGGUGCUAUAGAUCCCAAAUUAGAAAGCUCCAAUUUGUUGGAGUUUAUGAAAGAUCCCAAAACAGAGCAGAAGAUUACCACUGAAGCUCUUAAUGGACCAAAGUGUCAAUCAAUAAAUCUAGGCACAAAGGAUAAUCCCAAAUUGAUUCAAAUUUAUGAUGGUAUAAUGGGUAAAACUAAAGAGCUUUGGACAGGUUAUUUUAUAAAACAUAAAUCAACUUUUGCUUGGUCUUAUAAAGAUUUGAAGGGUAUUCCAGCUGAAGUUUGUGAGCAUCGAAUAAAAUUGGAGGACAGGGCUACACCAGUACGACAAAGGCAACAUUGACUGAAUCCUAAAUAUUUGUUGAUGGUAAAGGAGGAAUUGGAUAAGCUUCUGGAGGUGGGAUUUAUAUAUCAUGUACUACAUAGUGAAUGGAUUUUGCUGAUAGUUAUGGUUCCCAAGAAGAACGGAAAAGUCCGAAUUUUCCAAGAUUUUUGAAAGUUGACUGCUGCUACAAAGAAGGAUUACUUUCCUUUACCAUUUACGGAUAGUAUCUUAGACGCAGUAGCAGGCCACGAAUGUUAUUCGUUUCUUGAUGGUUUUUCAGGAUAUAAUCAGGUACAAAUUGCAAAGGAGGAUCAAUUAAAGACUACGUUUACUACGGAUUGGGGAACUUUUGCUUAUAAGGUCAUGCCUUUUGGACUUUGUAAUGCGCCAGCUACAUUUCAGAGGGUGAUGAUGCAAGCAUUCCAAGAUGAGCUACGGAUUUCAAUAGAAAUCUUUUUAGAUGAUUUCUGCACAUUCAGUACCAGAGAAGAACACUUAGACAAAUUGGGCCGAUGCUUAGGCAAAUGUGCUAAAUUUGGAAUUUCUUUGAAUUUAGAAAAAUAUAAAUUUGGGAUAUCCUUAGGAAAAUUAUUGGAUCAUAUCAUAUCGAAAACAAGUAUCGCCACCGAUCCGGAUAAAAUAAAAAUUAUACUAGAACUCCAAAUACCCGAUACAGUGACAGGUGUUCGCACCUUUAUUGGGCAUGUUAGCUAUUAUCGACAUUUUAUUUAUCUAUUUGCUGUUACCUGUAUUCCAUUGACAAAUUUGUUGAAAAAGCAACUACCGGACAGUCUCGAACCAAUUUGGACCAAGGAAUGUACAGUUGCGUUUGAAACAUUAAAACAAAAAUUGGUUUCUGUACCAAUAUUGGUUGCCCCUUGUUGGACAAAAUCUUUUGAGGUUUAUGUUGAUGCCUCUAAUGUUGCGAUUGAUUCGGUAUUGAGCCAGAAGGAUGACAAGAGGCACGAUCAUCCUAUUUAUUAUGCAAGCCAUCAGUUGGUGGCUGUCGAACGGAAUUACACUACAACUGAGCGAGAGGCUUUGGAAAUGAUUUAUUCUGUCCAAAAGUUUCGGCAUUAUCUUCUUGGAUAUAAAUUUGUCUUCCACGUGGAUCAUGACGCUUUAAAAUAUAUGAUUAAUAAGCCCCAGUUGAGUGGCCGCAUCGUAAGAUGGGUAUUGCUUUUACAAGAAUUUGAUUUUACUAUUAAUAUACGGCCGGGGAAGUCACAUGCCAAUGCAGACCAUCUAUCGCGACUGUCCAAUAUAUUGGGAAAUGAACCCAUUCCUAAUGCAUUACCUGACGCUGAGUUAUUUCUUGUUGAUCUAAUUACGUCGGAAUAUAGCGAAUUGAUAUAGUAUUUGACUUUUCAAACUUUUCCUUUUCAUUUUAAGAGAAGAUUGGUUUUGAAAAGCGCACCUUAUACUAUGAUUGGAGAAACUUUAUAUAAACAAGGGAAAGACGGAAUUUUACGCCGUUGCGUUUAUCAGAAUGAAGCACGCACUAUAUUGGAAGGAUGUCAUUUGGAUAGUUGUGGUAGACAUUUUGCAGGCGACAGCACAGCAUGCAAAGUUUUACAGGCGGGAUAUUGGUGGCCGACAAUGUUUGCGGAUGCUCACCAGUUUGCACGUAGUUGUGACCCGUGCCAGCGAAUUGGUCGUCCUACGGGUACAUCGCAAUGCCAUUAGUUCCAAUUCUGACACAGGCACCUUUUGAAAAAUGGGGUAUUGAUUUCGUGGGCCCAAUUGCACCUGCCUCUCGCCAUGGACAAAAAUGGUAUAUAUUGGUUGCCACGGACUAUGUUACCAAAUGGGCCGAAGCGAAGGCAACAAAAUCUGAUAGUGCUAGUGAUGUAGCCACAUUCUUAUAUGAAAAUAUUAUUACACGGUUUGGCUGUCCAAAAGAAUUGGUCAGUGAUCGAGGAACCCAUUUCAUCAAUAGUACAAUUGAAGCAUUGACUGCUAAAUAUGAGAUUAAAUACCGCAAGACGACACCGUAUCAUCCCAGAGCAAAUGGCCAAACAGAAAAGACCAACGGCAUAUUAUGUACAAUUAUCACCAAGACAAUAUCUGGUGCAGGCACAGAUUGGGACACUAAAUUGUUUGCUGCUUUGUAGGCAUACCGUACUGCAUAUAAAGUUACGACUAAUGUCACACCCUUUCAAUUAAUUUAUGGUCAGGAAGCAAUAUUACCUAUCGAAUUCGAAGUUCAAAGUUUGCGCAUUGCACUGGAGGAACGAUUGGGGGAUACGGAGUCGUUACAAGUUCGUUUCACACAAUUGGAGUAGUUGGAUGAAACUCGAACCAAUGCCCUAUUGAGACAGGAGGCCACUCAAAGGCGACGGAAAAGUUAUUAUGAUAGUAAAUUAAAACCAAAAUUUUUUAUGCCCAAUGAUUUGGUACUGCUUUAUGACAGUCGUUUUAAAAAUUUUCCAGGAAAAUUUCAUAUUCGGUGGCAUGGGCCGUAUAGAGUCAUUGAGGGUUUUUCCAAUGGCUCAGUCCAAUUGGAAGACUUUAUGGGUACUAAAUUUACCACGCAUAUAAAUGGGAAUCGACUACGUCUGUAUACUACAUAAACCCGAGAUGGGUUUUAUAUCGGUCGGGGAGGAGAGAGAAAGCCAAUUUAGUAUUGAAGUGACAGCGCAAGAGUUGUGAUGGGAAGAGAAGAGAGUGUGAUGAUGAGAUUAUGGACGGGUUGAGUGAAGGUGAGCCGUCAGGAAGACACUAAUAGGAUAGGUUGCUAUAGGCCUGUUAGGUUAAGUCAUAUCAGGAGGAGAACCAGGGUAGAAGUUAGAAGUGGGGCUCUUGGCUGGCAUUGUUUACAUUGCAAUUUCUUGAUUCACGUUGCUAAGCACAGGUUUUAGAGGAUUAUCGUGAAUAGCAAAGAUGGUGAUUGAGCGUAAGAAGAGGACAGCUACGAGAGAAGAGCGACAGCGUAAUGUCAAGACAAAGGGAGCAUUGCCACCAAUGGAGUGCGUGAUAGUGACUAGCAUGGAGCCGGUCGCUAUGGACAUUUUUUGGUCGCAAAAGAGACAGAGAGAGUUUCGCACGGUGCAGAUGUAUGGGUUUCUGAAGUUUUCGCAGAGGCUACCACCAAUAGAUAUAGCAUUGUUAAUGGAAUAUGUGACGAAUUAUGAUCCGGAAGACGGGUCCAAUGUGGUUCAUGGGAGAAUUAUUGGUAUAGAUGAGGUGAUGUUGAACAAGGUUCUAUAUCUUCCCAUGGGUGAGCUACUGGUAUCGGGAGACUUAGAGUCUGAUUUUGUUCCAAGCAAGUACUUCAAGUCAAAAAACAAAGCGUUUGAAAAAAAUCAAGGGUGGAAGACAGCGGAUGCACUUACGCCGGAGCUGGGAGAAUACAUGCGGUUUGUAUAGAAGCGAUUAGGGUUGAAUCGACAUUCGACGUAUACGACAAGGAGGUUAUUGUUUUCAGCAAUUGCGAUGCUGGAGAGGAUGGUCUUCAACUGGGCAUCGUAUGUUGCGACCAGAAUCCAUGCGGAAUUGGACAUGAAAAGAAGAACAAGGAAGGUUACCACGAUGUUAUGCUCCAACUACGUGUGUGAAGCAAUUAGAUAUCAAUUGAAGCAACCUUCAAUGGUGGAGAGACUAGACGCUGUAGCAACAGAGAUAAGAAUAGAGUUAAUGCCAUUGCCAGGAAAACAAGUCGAGGAAGCGACGAUAGCAAAGUACAACCAAGCUAGAAAUUACGAACGGACCAAUAUCAGCUCGUCAUCUAGAGAAUUGGGUCGUCCCAGUACCAAUAUGGCCGUCACUCCAUCAGUACUGGUAGAGUAUUAUCAACGGGUGGGUUUAUCGAGAGCUGGCCAGUAGGCAAGAGAACUCAAGGAGUUAAUCUCGGCACAAAUUACUCAAUUACAGAUGGCCGUUGAGAAAAUGGACAAUGAGUUCAGCCUUAGACAGGUACUAGAGGAAAAGGACAAGAUCAUUGAGGAUCAGAAGAAGAAGAUUGGAGAUUUACAACAUGCUUCAGUAACGGACGCUCUCAAAUAUUCAAGAUUAGAGCACCAAUUCAAGGAGACCCAAGCGGAAUGGGCCAAGGAGAACAAGUUGGCAAAGAGUCUGAUGGAGCUUACCAAGCAGGAGUGUAUGGAGUUGCGGAACCAAUACCAGGAGGAGAAGAAUAGGGUGGCAGAAUUGGAAGCCGGGAGAUCCAAAUUGGAGGACGAUUUUCGGAGACAAUUGGAGAGCUCGAAGAUGGAGAACGAGCAAUUGAAGAGAAGGAUUGCCAAAUUGGAGGCAGAAAUGAUUACAGUUACCACGCAACAAGGAAAGGUCAAUCUAGCAAGUACAUCUUUACGGGAAUUAGAGAAACAGGUGCAUGCCCUGGAGGAGCAGCUGAAAGAGCGAGACAUCCAAAUUGCGCUUUUGGAGUCUCAGGUUCGGGAAUUGGGAGCACUUAACGAGGACUUGACAGCUUUAUUGAACGGAGAGCAGGUGGGAAAGGGAGUUGGAGAAGAAGCUCAAGAAGUCGAAACCAAUCUCACUUAAGGAAAUGAUGAAACGGACCAAGGCGGACUAGAGGUUCAGACAUUGGAGGAAGCCAAUGAUGUGGUGAUAUUGUAAAACGUAGUAUGAGGUGGUUUGCGAGGACGCUGCACAGUAAAGAGUGGGGCUAUGUAGAAUGUAUAAAUGACUUUUCUGGUUCGUUAUCGGUUAAAUAGUAGUAAUGUUGGGAUUUAGAUGAAUGGUUAGUUCGAUUAGUUGUUAAUAGUAGGAAGUUAGGAACAUAUGUGGUUAAGAAGCCAAAGUUUUACAACUUGUGGAAUCUGCUGGAUGACGAUUCAUAUUUUGGUAGGAUAAAGAGGUUGAGGAAGAAGGAAUGGGGGCCAGACUGUGAUAGUCGUGAGCCAGGGUAAAGCUUAGAGCUACCCUUUUGUUUUCUUUGCUUUUGUGUUUUUCUUUAGUAUUGGAUUUAAGAAAAGAAUUGCUAAAACUGUGAUUGAGAUAUUGAAAAUUAUGAAUUCGAAUUAAUUAAUUUGGAGAAAGAAAGUGUGAUUGUGAUAAUAGAGAUUAUUGCAUUGUAAUAGUAGCACUAGAAGAUUGAGUAAAAGUAAAGGAAUUGAGAAUUGAAGUACUAUGGAAAGAGAUUAAGCAUCCUGUAGAUGUCAGGAAUGUCAGUGAUAUUGAGUAGCUGCAGGGCAGUGAACGAUUGUAGAGAUUGUGAAGGGAUUGAAUUGAGAUGAGGAAGAGAACUUUGGAAGUUUUAGAUAAUUAAUACAUAAUCAAUUGUGACAUAACAUAUUCAAUUCAUACAACAAGUCUUUCCCCGAGAUCGAACCCACCUAUACUGAUCAAAUAUCUUGGUGUUUUGAGUCCGAGUCAAACAAUGAUUACACUCCCCUAGGAUCAUUUUGCUGUUCAUUAACCUCUCUCAAAGGUGGUCUUCAAAACCAAUUGGCCAAAAAUGAGAUAAAAAUACAUUCUUUAAUGCUUCCCAAUUCGGAAAUUGAUCCACUGGUUAGCAGUUGUACCAUUCAAAUGUCGUAUCUUUUAAGGUUGCUGACAGCCAUCGCAACCAUAUAGCUUCAGUUCUGCCAUUAUUAGCUAUACAUGCUGUAAGAAACUGAGACAAAUGUUGAUCGAGAUCUGCACCGGAAAAUCCUCGAAAAGUAGGUAGUGGUGCGACAUUAGUCAUACGAUCGCCUACUAUAUCCAUUUGUACUGCAAUCGAAAUGGCUGGUCCUCCUAAUGCCAUUGAAUUUCUUAUUCUACUAAACUUCGAUUUAAAAUAAUCUUUGCUUUUCCUUAUUCUAAUUUCCGAGCUUUCAAUGCUCCUCGAUUUACUGUUAUUUUCUGCAAUUAGUUUUAUUGGUUGAAUUGUAAGUGAAAACGUCAGAUUUUGAAAUAUAAUAUAGUUAUCUUUAUUGGCGACUAAUUUGUGCCAAUCUGAAAAGCCACUAUUGCUCGUUUCAACGAUACCCUUUACUGAAAAAAUAUCCAAUGGAGUACCAAAUUUUUCUACGCCUCCUUCUCUUUCAGUUAACGGCCUCAAGAUUUCCACUGGAAUGUUAACAAAAUUUUCCGCAAGUGUUCUUGGCAGUUUUUCUAAUAGUACAUACAACUGCAAAAUUAAUAGUUUGUCUGGUUCUUGAUAUGUUCGAAUGCACCGACAAGCUUGCAACCAUGAUUUAAUCCAAUUCUAUCAAUGCUUCCUUUUAAGAUUACGUUCUUACUCCUCUUUAAGCAAGUUCCUUUCUUACGCUCUUCCCUGUCUUUCUCUCAAUUGAUUUAUUUUCCUCGAUGCAAUGCUCUUAUUCUUAUUAACCAUAAUCUUGCUUCAAACACUACUGAAAUCGUCUUUUAUUGCCAAUUUUCUCACACGUUUGGUAAUUAAUUCCUAACACUCAAAGGUAUUAUCACUCCUUGGUAGCAGCGCUAAAAUGUGAUUGCUCGUUUUACUUAUUCCAGAAGAAACUUCCGAGAAUAAACCUGUAUAGGGGGAUUCGAACACGGGGAAUGACUAGUUGCUUAAGUGUUCACGUUAGGGUCACACAAUCAAUUACCUCUUGAAUGUAUCGUCUCUAUUUCUAAUAUCUGAACACACGAGAAAACCAUAAUCUCCUCCUUCACCUUAUCGGUCUCUUCCUUACAACAAUUCAGUCAUACCAAUAACUGCUAUUUCCACCAAUAUAUUCACCCUCAUAAUCUCCAACUGUAAUACUAUGCCCUCACAGCUUUCAGUACACAAUUAUCCUCGUUCCAAUCACUAGAAUUCUUCACACAGAAUUGCCAUUCACAUUACAGUAUUUCACACAAAUACAGACUCAUUCUCUCUACUGAACUACAAUCAGAUUUCAGCAUUCAAUCUUUUUUCUUCUCAAAUAAUACUAAUCACAUUUUUAUUCCAUAAUUUACUUCACAAUAUUUAGAAACUCUCAAUCCUCUUAUUCAAAGAAAAUAACAAACAAAAGAAAAGAGGUAGCACCAAGCUUACUCCGGCUCACACUAUCAUAGCGAUGGUACCUUAAUUAACUUCUACAACUCUUAUAUACUUUCUCUUGAUUCUCCAGAUUCUAACCAUAAUUUUGUAAUUAAUCACUUUUAAUAACUAAAUCACUCAUCCAUCCUCCUGAAUUUCCUAUUAUAUGGACUAUUAAUAUAUUUUACCAAUAUCUUUCAAAAAAAAAUUAAUAUCUAUUCUACAUACAUUCACAAUUAGAAAAGGUAAUGAUAAAAUUGUGCUUCAAAUAUACCCUGUCUAAUAUCAUGGAGAAAUUCAAGUUGCUAGUUCAGAAUUCACAUCGGAUUGUGAAGAUGAGUCUACAAAAGAAGAAAUUGGUACACCUGUCCCAAUUUAUGCUGAUAUAAGGCAAGUUAUCGAGCACACUAGAAUGAACUACAAGUGUAAGGAACUGGGAGAGUACUUAGUCCCUCCAGAUGUUAUUGACGAUUUUGAUCAUAUGAUUGCAUAUUUGAUGAAUAGACAAGAUGUUAAUCACGUUAGUACUAUUGAACUGGAGUUAGAAAGUUCUAAUGUGUCAGAUUUUAUGAAAGAUCCUGGAAUUGAGUAGAAUAUUAUUCUAGAGAAUCCUAAAAUUCUACGAUGUCAACAAAUUAAUUUAGGUAUAGGAAAGGCUUCUCAAAUCAUUCAGAUUUAUGACGGUAUAAAAAACAAGAAGAAAGAAAUUUGGGUGGAUUACUUUUUAUAGCAUAAAAUUACUUUUAUAUGAUCGUAUGCAGAUUUGAAAAGAAUUCCAAUUGAAGUUUGUGAGCAUUGAAUUAUAUUAGAGGAGAAUGCUACACUAGUAUGCCAAAGACAACAUCGACUUAAUCCAAAAUACUUACUUAUGGUAAAAGAAAAAUUGAAUGAAUGCUUGGAGGUUGGAUUUACCUAUUCGGUUCCUUUCAGUGAAUGGAUUUCAUCAAUUAUUAUGGUACCUAAAAAGAAUGGAAAAGUUUGCAUCUGUCAAGAUUUCCAAAAAUUAAAUGCAUCUACAAAGAAGGAUUAUUUUUCUUUACCAUUCACGGAUAAUAUAGUGGAUGCUCUCACUGGUUAUGAAUGUUAUUCAUUUCUUGAUGGAUUCUCCGGUUAUAAUCAACCUUAGAUUAUAAAAGAAGAUCAAUUAAAACUACUUUUACUAUGGAUUGGAGGACCUUUACCUAUAAGGUUAUGUCGUUUAGGUUUUAUAAUGCACCAGCUAUAUUUCAAAGGAUAAUGAUGCAAGCGUUCCAAGAUUAUCUACGAAUUUCAAUGGAAAUAUUUUUAGAUGAUUUUUGCACAUUUAAUACAAGAGCCAGGUAUUUGAAAUAUCUCGAUCAAUAUUUGAAUCAAUGUGCCAAAUAUGGAAUUUCUUUAAAUUCGAAAAAGUACCAAUUUAGUAUACUUUUUGGUAAACUGUUGGAUAAUAUAGUUUCGAUGGCAGGCAUUGCUACAGAUUCAGCUAAAAUAAAGAUUAUAGUAGAUUUAUAGUUAUAUAUCUUUCUUUGACAAAUCUCUUGAAGAAACCACCAAUCGAUGGGACUAGUCCAUUUUGGACAAUGGAAUGUAUAAUUGCAUUCUAAACAUUAAAUCAAAAAUUGGUUUCAACACCAAUAUUGGUGGCACCUUGUUGGACAAAACCAUUCCAAGUUUAUGUGGAUGCAUCUAAUGUCGCGAUUGGUUCUGGGCUAAACCAGAAAGAUGAAUGGGGUUUUGAUCACCCUAUUUAUUAUGCAACUCAUCAACUGGUAGCAGUUGAAAGAAAUUAUACAACAACCAAAAGAAAAGCAUUGGAAAUGAUUUAUUGUGUACAAAAGUUUCGACAUUAUCUUCUUGGUUAUAAAUUUGUUUUCUAUGUCGACCAUGAUGCUUUAAAAUACAUGAUUAAUACUUUACUAUUCAGGUAAGACCAGGAAAAUCAUAUUCCAAUGUGGACCAUUUAUCUCGAUUAUCCAAUAUAUUGGGUAAUGAACCCAUUAACGAUGCACUACCCAAUGCGGAACUAUUUGCAAUAGAUGUAAUUACUUCGGAGUAUAGUGAAAUAAUUCAAUACUUGAUAUUUCAAACCUUCCCACCUAAUUUCAAUGAAAAGCUUAAAUGACACUUAAUAUUAAAAUGUGCCCCUUAUACGAUGAUUGGUGAAGCUUUAUAUGAACAAGGCAAGGAUGGAGUUUUGUGACACUGUAUUUAUCACACUAAAGUGUAUACUAUAUUGGAAGGUUGCCACUUCGACAGUUGUGGUGGACAUUUUGCGGGAGACAACACGGCUUGUAAAGCUUUACAAGUUGGUUAUUGGUGGCCAAUAAUGUUUGCAAAUGCCCACCAAUUCAUCCAUCAUUGUGACCCAUGUCAAAGAACAGGUCAACCUAUUGGAACUUCACCAAUGCCAUUGAUACCAAUUCUGGCUCAAGCACCUUUUGAAAAAUGGAGAAUUGAUUUUGUGGGACCAAUUGCAUCAGCCUUAAGAAAUAGACAAAAAUUGUAUAUACUGGUAGCAACGGAUUACGUAACAAAAUGGACUGAAUCCGUAGCUACGAAAACGGAUAGUGCAAGUACAGUAGUAACUUUUUUGUAUGAAAAUAUUAUUAUAUGGUUCGGUUGUCCACGAGAAUUGCUUAGUGAUCAAAGAACUCAUUUUAUAAAUAGUACAAUCAAAGCACUCAUGGCUAAAUAUGAGAUAAAAUAUUAAAAGACUAUACCAUAUCAUCCUAGAGCCAAUGGGUAAAUGGAAAAAACUAAUAGAAUUUUAUGUAAAAUCUUAACAAAAAUAGUUUCAGGAGCAAGCACAGAUUGAGAUACUAAGUUUUUCACAGCUUUAUGGAUAUACCGUUGUUGUAUGGCAUGAUUUGCUUUCUGGGAAUACACUGGAUACCUAGCUGUAGAGAGUGUACCUUAAACCUUUAUAUGAUUCUUUUCUUGGCUUCCAAAACUCCUUUAUUUUUGUAUAAAACUCCAAAUAUAACAAAAUCCCUUCAAAACACAUUUUUUCCGCGAAGGGUUUUCUCGCCUGGAACUUUAGAAAAUCAUAACUAUUGAUCUAACCGUUCAAUUUGUUUCAAAUUUACAAGAUAGGUAGAAUUUACCAUUAACUUGUACCACAAAAAAAACCAACCGCAAAUUCACUCCCGAUCUUCUGGCAUCUAAGAAACCCUAGCAGACACUCCAAACCCUAAUUUACAAGCACCCGAAAACUCUUUUCCUUAUAUCUCAAAAACCCGAACUCCAAAUGUCAUAAAACUUAUGUACAAAGUUUAUUAACAUGAAAUUACAAGUUCCUUGAAAUUUUGAGCCAAAACCUCACAAAAUUGCUCAAGAUAUAGCUCAAGAGACAAACACUAGUAAAUCGGUUUACUUACUAUCCUUAGAUUGCAUGUGCUGACUUCAAAAUCCAAUAACUUCUUCAUCCAACUUGGAAUCCAAUAAGCAGUAUGUGAAAAGUAUAGCCGCAAAAGUGCUCUCUCCAGUCGCAGUCGCCAAUCCUCAAUUGCCAUCUGUACGCGUGCGUUAUGCUGAAAAGAGUGACAGUAGGUCCAAAACUAACACCUUAACUUUGAGCGCCUAUAACUUCUUCGUAAAAACCCCAAAUGACACAAAACUUGUACCAAAACCUUAACCAAAAACCUAAACCUUUUGAUCCUAGCCUUCAAAGUUCGAAUGGCCUCGAGAAACUAACCCUAAUCCCUAAUAUGGCCUCGGGCAGCCUCCUCAAAGCCCAUUGGUCAUGAUUCUUGACUAAUAGGAAUGGAGAUUUUCAUCAUUCAUCUCCAUUCAUCUAUAUUGGUUCCCUAAUUACUCCCUUUGCUACCAAAAUCCUUCUUCAAUCCUUUUUCUUAUAAGAUUUACAUAAUGUAUGCUCUAAACACCAAAUAAAAGAACCAAAAUAAGUUUUUAAAUGUCACCAAUGUCUAAUAAAGGUGACUCUAAAUAUUUAGAAGUUACUAUCAACCAAAACCAAUCUUAAAAGCUACUAUCAAAAAGAAAUUAAAGUUAUAAAAAUUCUAUAGUAAUCUUUUUAUAAAACCUCUUCUCAAAGUAAUAAUCAAAUUAUAUCCUACAACCAAUUAAAAUCUACUAACAUAGCUCUCACCAUGUUACUUAAUAAAUUAUAUAUUAAGUACAUAAUUACAUUAUUUUCAUAUAGUAGCCGAACCACAACACGACACCGUACUGCAUAUAAAGUUACUACCAAUGCUACCCCUUUCUAAUUGGUUUAUGGCGAGGAAGCAAUAUUACCUAUUGAAGUCCAAAGUUUACGAAUUGCUAUAGAUAUUAGAUUGAAAGAUCAGGAUUCAUUACGGCAUUGUUUAGAAGAAUUGGAAAAAUUGGAUGAAACUAGAACCAAUGCAUUAAUGAUAAUGGAAACUACCUAAAAACGAAGGAAGACUUAUUAUGAUAGUAAGCUUAGACCAAAGGCUUUUAUACCAAAUGAUUUGGUACUUCUUUAUGAUAGUCAAUUUAAAAAAUUUUCAUGAAAAUUUCAAGUUCGAUGGCAUGGGCCAUAUCGAGUUUUUGAAGGAUUUUCAAAUGAUUCAGUACAAUUGGAAGAUUUUAUGGGUACUAAAUUUACGACACGGAUCAAUAGUAAUUGGCUUAAAUUUUACUAUACAUAAACCCGGGACGGGUUUUCUGUUACAAAAGAAGGAGUCGAUCCAAUUGAUUAGACCAUAGUAAGAAGUAGGAGGGGGGCUCUUGACAAGCAUCGUGUUUUUUUUUGUGGUUAAGGAAAAGAUGGCGAACAUGGUAUCUGAGAAAGUAAAGAUGGAGACCGAUUAGAAGGAACGGCAAGAACGGUUGCAAGUAGAGGUUGCGAUUUUGUAGACUAAAUUAGCCGCAUUAGUGAAGGAGGUCAAUAAUUUAGUACGGACCAAUAUGCUAGUUUCAGCAAUAACACCUUAGAAGAUACCUUUGAAAUUGAUAGAAGAAUGGCAAAAGAUGUUGGAGGAGUGUGACAACUAAUUUGCCGACUUGAGUCUCAGAUACGAGAAUUAGGUUUGUUGAAUGAAGAUCUGACAGCACAUUUGGAUGGAGAACCAUCAAACACCGAGGUCGACAAAGAAGUAGUAGAGAAGAAGGUCAAGAAUUCAAAAGGUGGUAAGUCAACGCGAUUGAUUGAAAAAGCCAACGCUGCUACGUCUUUAUAAGUUUAGGCUAAAUAAUAUUUGUGAGGACGCUGCACAAUUAGGAGUGGGGCUAUAUAGAAUAGGUAAAUAAACUUUGUGGUAAGUUAGUGAUUGAUUAUUGAUAACCUUGAAAAUUAGACUAAUGGUAAGGUAGUUUAGUUGAUAACAGUAGGUUGUUAGUGGAAUAAAUGAUUAAGAAUUCAAAGGGACAUAAGUUUUGGAAUUUGCUGAUUGACAGAUCAUCUUUUUGGUAAGAUAAAUAGGUUGAAGAAAGAGAGAUCGGGGCCAGACUCUGAGAGUCAUAAGCCGAUAACCAGACUAUGAGAGUCGUAAGCCGGGAUAAGCUUGGUGCUACAUCUUUGUUUUCUUUGCUUUUGUUAUUUACUUAUGAAGAAUUGUGAUUGAGAGAAGUAUUGUUGAAUUGAUAGUUGUAGAAUGGAUUAAGUGUUGAAUCAAGACGGAAGUAGUAAGCCUUGGUAUUUUGUAGUUUGAUACUUGAUUUCAGAUAGCCAAAAUAUAAUCAAUUGUGAUACUAACAGACCCAAUUCAUAUAACCAGUCUUUCCCCAUGUUCGAACUCACUUCUAUUAGUUCAAUUGCUUUGGUAUAGUAAAGCUUGAACACAAUGAAAACAACAGGAGGUGACAUUUGUCUUCUUCCCAAAAUAUUCACUAUCUUAUACAACUCAAGAAGAGAUACAUAAAAUACAUAGUCGAUCUUCAUAAACUUUUGUAGAUGUAAUCAAUAAGCAACAAUAUUAAUUUAUUCAUAAAUAGAAAAAUGUCCCAGUCUACAAUAGUUCAACUUAUUACAAAGAUGAGUAGUCAUAAUAUUGUGAUGAAGUAACCAUAUUUUGUCACCUAUGUUGAAUUGUGGUUGCUCCUUGCGAUAGGCAUCCGCAUUAGUCUUUUGCCAUCCUUGAGCUUCUUUUAAUUAUAUCUUCAUUAUUGCAUGUAGCUCUAAUAAAUGAUUUUUUAAAUCUUCUAUUACAAUUAUCAACUUUUAAAAAGUCAAAAGUAUUAAGUUGUAGAUGAUAACCAUAAUUAGCAAGAAAGAUGUUUGUUGAGUAGAAUAAUGUAUUGAAUUAUUAUAUGCAAACUCUAUCAAUGGCAAAAGAGUUGUUUAAUCAUCUUGAUGAUAGUUGAUAGUAUACCUCAAAUACUAUUCUAAAAUUUGAUUCAUCCAUUCCAUUUGUCCAUCAAUUUAAGGAUGAAAAGCCAAAGAAAGCUUUAUAUCCACCUUUAGAAUCUUGAAUUGGAUUUUCUAAAAACUUGAUACAAAUUGAGUCUCUUUAUUUGAUAUAAUAUCUUUUGGCAAUCCAUAAUAGCAAUAGAUAUUGUCAAUAAAAAAAACUUAACUAUUUCUUCACCUGAAAUAGAUUUUGAACAUGGUAUAAAAUGUACCAUUUUUAUGAAGCAUUCUAUGAUUACAAAUAUGAAAUCAUAUAAACUUGAGACUAGAAGUUCCAUAAUAAAAUCCAUAGAAACAAAAGAUAAUGGUUGUUUUGGAAUAGGUAAUGGUUGAAGUAGUCCAUAAGGUCAAUGACAAGGAGUUUUGGAUCUUGAACAAGUAUUGCAUGAUUGUACAAAGUCUUUGACUGCCUUCCAUAUUUGAGGCCACCAAAAAUCUCUUGAUAUUAGUUCCAAAGUCUUAUUGUAUCUAAAAUGUCUGGUUGUUGAAAAAUCAUGAUGAGCUUGAAAGACAUGUAAUCAUGCCUUGCCUUUUAGAAUAUAUAGGUGAUCUUUAAAAUAUAGUAAGUUGUUCUUGAACUCAAACUUUGAAGUAACAUUGGACCUAGAGGAAGUAUUCUUGAUAUCAUGAAUAAGAGGAUCAAAGGACAUACUUGAUUGAAUUUUCUUGACAAAAGUUGAAUCAACAGUCAAUAUUGAUUUUAUUGCUCAAAGAUGAAAAUGCUUAAACUUCAAAAAGAUCAUUCUUUGUUGAUCAAAAGAUGCAUCUCUUUCUUUUGGUGUAAGAUAAGAAUGUCUAAAAAGGAUGUGUAAUAGAUCUUAUUAUUUUUUGAGUCGAUAAAUCAUCUUGAAAUUGAAUCUAGAUAAAAACAUACUCUAAUAGACUUGACAAUGAUUCAAAACACGUGUUGACAUGAAAUACUUGAGGUUCUUAUGAUCCGUAUAUAUGAUGACUGGAUUUAAAGUGCUUUCUAGAUAAUGAUGCCAUUCUUGAAAUGAAUCUACAAUUGCAAGGAAUUCUUUGUCAUGGAUCUCAUAAUUAAUCUUGGUUACUAAAAUUUUAUUGGAAUAGAAAGCUACUAGAUGAAGUUUGUUAUCUAUUCCCAUUUGUGACAACAUGGCAUCCAUAGCAAAAUCUGAUGCGUCUGUUUUCACAAAAAAUACCUUAGAGAAGUUAAGACAAUAUAAGAUUGGUGCAAAAGUAAAUUCCUUCUUUAAAGCAUCAUAUGAUGCUUUUACUUCUUUAUUCCAUUUAAUUUUUUUUUACAAGUCAAAUAUAUAAGUAAAGUUAUAACUUAAAAAAAAUUCUUGAUGAAGAUUCGGUAAUAAUUAACAAAGCCUAAAAAGCAUUGUACAUCUCAUACUGUUCUUAGAAUCUUCUAAUCUAUGAUAUUUUGGACCUUCUUAGGAUCUAUCAUAAGGCAUUCAUUGGAAAUGAUAUGUCCUAAAAAAUCAACUUGAAUAGUAUAGAAUAUACACUUUUUUAACUUGACAUAUAAUCUUACAUCUCCAAGUUUUUGUAAUACACAACAAACAUGAAGUUAAUGUACUUCUAUUUUCUUAGAGUAGAUUAAAAUGUCAUCUAAAUAGCAAACGAUAAAAUUAUCUAGAAAUUCACAAAAAACAUCAUUCAUAAGAUGUUGAAAAAUAGCCGAUGCAUUUGUGAGUGUGAAAGGUAUGACAUUAUAUUCAAAAUAUCCAUACCUAGUUUGAAAAACAAUCUUCUAUUCAUCUCUUUUUUUGAUACAAACUAAGUUUUAUGCUCCUUGUAGAUCUAUUUUGAUAUAGAUCUUUGCUUAAUUGAGUUAGUCAAGAAGUCUUGAAAUCAAAAGCAAAGGAUACCUAUUCUUGAUGGUCAUCUUAUUGAGUCAUCGAUAAUCUACACACAUUUAUAAAGUUACAUCUUUCUUCUUUACAAAUAAGAUAGGAGCCUUGAUUGGAAAUUUAGAAUGGCAUAUAAAGUUCUUUGCUAAGUUUUCAUCAAUAUAUUUCUUUAAUACAACCAACUCAAUCUGCGUUAAGCUAUAGAUUGGUCCGAAUGGUGAUUGAGCUCUUUUUUACAAAUCAAUUGAACAAUCAUAAGGUUGAUGCUUUGGAAGAAUAUCUGCAUUCUUCUUUUUAAAAAUGUCUUAGAAUUCUUCAUAUUGACUAAGAAUACAACUUGAUAUUUUUUCACCAUUAAAAAUGGACUUAGCAUAUAUAGCAAAAGAUGAUUCUUUUUUUGAAGCAUGCGUGAAAGCUCUCACACCUAUCAGUAAAGAUUUGGAAGUGCUAAACUUUUAUACUUCUACUUUACUAAUUUGAUCUUGGAUUAUUCUACCAAAAAAAUUAAGGUUAUGAAAAAUCCAAUCUAUUUGAAGAUUAUAUUCUUCUAGCCACAAUAAUCCUAAAAUAACUGAAUUGGAGGGAGAUCUUAUUAUAUUAAAUACUACUACGCUUUUAUGAUCUUUAAUUAUUACAUCUAAAGGAACACUCUUAUGGGUAACAUUUUCAGAAGACAACAAAUGACCAUCUAUAACUUCUACAUGUAUAGAUUUAGUUUUCUUGACUAAAGGUAUUUUUUGAUUUUUAACAAAAUCUUUGUCUAUAAAAUAGGCUGAGGAUCUUGAAUUUAAUAAGGCAGACUUUUUAAUUUUUAAAUCCUAAACAAACAUCUAUUAUAAAAUGAGGUGAUGGAUUUGAGGAGAGAAUAGGAUCUUUACUAGAUAUUAGACAUGAUUUCAACUGCACGAUCCCUAUUAUAGCUAGAGAAACUCAUUUUUUGAUACAUUAUCUUCUUUGGUAAUUAUGCUCCUCAUUUGUAAUUGUGUUGCUUCUUAAGAAAAUGUUGGACAAUAUGCUUAGCUUCUCUACAGUAUAAACAUAAACCAUCUUAGUACCAUCUAGUCUUUUCCUGCUUUGUGAGAGUUUUAAAACGUAUUGCAUCAAUUUGCAUUGAUUUUGGCCUUUAUGAAUACAUUUCAGAAAACUUAGAAACUACUACCAUUACUUAACUUGUUCCUCUCCAACCAAGUCUUUAUUCUUAAUGCCUUUCAAAUAAUCAAUUAUUGUAUGUAAUGGCUUGAAUAAUAAAUUAUUCUAAAGAUUCUACUUUUGGUAUUGUCAAAAACAAAUCUUUGACACUAUCUUUUAAUUCAUAUCAAAAUUGGUUGAUGAGUGCUUUGUCAUUCUAGUUCACAUCUCAAGUAAGGUUUUGAAAUUCAGCAAUACAUAUAGUCACUGAUCAUGAUUCUUGUCAUAAAGAUAAGAGUUUGGUCUCUACUACUCGUUCUCAAUCACUUUCUCUAAAUGUGGCCGUAAAUACUUCUAAGAAUGAAUUCAAAUUAUAAAAGAGUUACAAAUCUUUUUUUAUUAAAGAUACAAACCAAGAAAUAGCACUUCCUGAUAGAAGUGCACAUAUGAAUCAAACUUGAGUAAAUCCAUUAAGAUAUUGGAAAAGAUGCAAGCUUAGAUAGAACUUGACUUGUUGUAAAAAUCUUCAAAAUUUUGAUCUUGUUCCAUCAAACUUCUCAGGCAUAUUAAUCCUUGUCCUCGUCAUACUUAUAAAAGCUAAACUCUAUAGAUUUGGUUGUAAGGUCGAUCUACUUGCUUCUUUUAAUUGCACAACUUCUUACUAUAGAUUCUCAACUUCUUCCAUAGGUAUAGACAUAGUACUUCUAUAAUUCAUGUUAGAAGUAUGUGAGAUUUUCACUCUAAAAGUAUUGACAAGCUCAUGAAGAUCUGUAAUAGUUGUAAAUCUAUUCUCACUUCUACUAGGUGUAGCAUCCAUAAUCUUUCCUUCCAUAGACAACUCAAACAAAUCCAAAAAGUUAAAUUAGAAGAGGAUAAUCCGCAACCUCUAAUAAAAAUUUCCACAAAGAAGAGUGAUCCACUCUCUUUAAGGAAAGAUCAAUGUUAGAAAAUAAGAUUUUUUUGUUUAAAAGGUGGAUAGUCUACAACCUUUAAAAUAUAAUAAUAGAAGUAGAGUAAUCCACUUACUUCUUAAACAAGACAAAAAUAAUAUGUUAAUACUCUUAUCAAAUUGUCAGGGAGAUGAAUCUCAAAGAAAGAAAAUCCUCAAUACAUUCUUAUGUCACUAAAGAAAACUAGAAAGUCACUCAAAAGAUAAUAUAAUAUUAAUUAGAAUAGUUAUUGCUAAAAUCAAAAAGACUAGAAAGUCUUGAAACAAGACUAAGGACUAAAAAAGUAUUGAUAAGAGUAAAGAAAGCUUCACUCUAACUUCUAUAUAUACUCUUAACUAGGAGCUAUGUAGAAAUAUCCUAUAAGACCUCCAAAACAUAUUGACUUUGCUAGCUACAUGUUUUAACUUAUAAGGCAAGUUAUUUGUGUAUGCGCCACAUGGUUAGCUUGUUCUACAAGCUACUAUAUGGAGUUAAUUUGUUCCAUAAGCUACUAACACGUGGUUAACUUGUUGGUCAAGUUUUCAACCUACAAACACAUCUAAAGCCAAAACCACAUCUAUGAAGCUUCUAGAAAGCUUCACUAAAAAACAUUAUGAAAUUAAUCUAUAUUUAUCUAUUUCUAUCUAAUUAUAUAAGUAAUUAUUGAAGUAAAUAUAUAUAUCCGUGACAACGAUAUGGUUAUUCUAUAGAACAUCGGUACAUAGGUCUUAGUUAGAUAGUAUAUAUAUAUAUAGGCAAGAAUGAUGGCUUUUUUACUUUUAUCAAUACCUUUCUAAUCUUUAGACUUAUUUUAAGACUUUUUAAUCUUCUUGUCUUUGGCAAUAGCCAUUCUAGUAUAAUAUUAUAUCAUCUUUGAAUGAUUAUCUAGUCUUUUUGAGUGAUAGAAGAAUAUAUUAAUCUUUUUAUUCUUUGAAGUUCAUAUCUUUGAUAAAUAUAGUAAUAUAUUAAAUUAAAAUGGCUAUUGUCAAAUAUAAGAAGACUUAAAAGUCUUGAAAUAAGAUUAAAGACUAGAAAGACAUUGGCAAGAGUGAAAAAGGCUUCAUUCUUACCUCUAUAUAUACUAUCUAACUAGGAGUUACAUAACAAUAUCGUUCAAGACUUCUAAUAUGUAUUCAAUUUGCAAGGUAAGUUUUUUAUAUGUGCACUAUAUCAUUCUCUUGUAUCACAAGCUAUCCACAUGUACAAUACACAGCUAAUUUUUUGGCCAAAUUUUUAACCUACUAAUCAUCUAUAAACAUGUUUAAAGUCAAAUAUAUAUUUAUGAAGUUUCAAAGAAGCUUUGCAAUAAGAUAAUAUGAAAUCUAUAUAUAUAUAUAUAUAUAUAUAUAUAUAUAUAUAUAGUUAUUUAUUUUUUAUUUAAAUAUAUAUAUAUAUAUAUAUAUAUAUAUAUUUGUGAUAUUACUUUCCAUUCUAGAGACAAAUUCCAUAAAGAAUGAUCAUUAUAUAUUGAAGAAGUCUAAGAUGUAAUGAAUUAUAUUUGUCAUAUAUUCUAAUCUUUAUUUUCUUUAAAGAUAGUUGAUAGAUCCUCUCAACCAUCGAUAAUAUUUCAUUUCAAGGUAAAAAGACCACCUUAUUAUAUGAUCAUUGUUAAAGCCUUUAUAACUUUUUUAAAAUAAAAUAUUUAUUAGACCAUCAAAAAUCGUUUUUACUUCUAAUAAUAUCAUCAAACAUGUAGAACCUCUUUUAAAGUCGUAAUACCAAAUGCAUUGUAUCUUUCCAUCUAUUCAAAAUAGAACUAAUCAUUCUUGAAGAACUUUUAAUUUUAAUUUCAUAGUCUUGAAGGCUAUAACAAUCAUAAUAUCUAAUUUUAUAAAUUAAUAAAUAAUAGCUCUUGAAUUGGAUUUCUUGAUUUUGAGUACUCUAUCUUUUUAGCACUACAAAUAAUUACAAAUUAUAAACAAAUAUAGAAGAUAAAAUAUAAUAUUUUUUAAACAAUAUUUUUUUAUAGCAAAGUUUUCUUAUUUUUUAUUUUGAUUUUGAUGUAUGUUGUUAAUAAAAAAUAUUAACCUUAUUUGUUGCAUUUGUAAGAUUUUUAACUAGCUCUCAUAUGUAUUCAUUAAUAUCAUAUCUACAUCAAUGAAUAAGAUAUUCUAAUUUAUUUUUUUGUUGGCUUGAGUCUAUAAUUUCUUCCACCUCAAAUUCUUGAUUAUUAUCUAUUUUUAUACAAAGAAGUGAUAUUUAAAUUCUUCUCAAGAUAUCCAUUUUUUUAUAUGGCUCAAAAAAAUACAUAUGAAAUGUAAGAUAAAUCUUCAUAGACUCCAAUAGAUAUAAUUGAUAAGCAAUUGAAUUGAUUUGCUUACAAAUAGAAAAUAGUCUAAGUCUACAGUAAUUUAAUUUAUCACAAGGAUGGCUAAUCUUAAUAAAAUAAUCAUAUCUUAUUGCCAACAUAACAUUAAGAUUGCUUCUUAUAAAAGACAUCUAUGUUAGUUUUUUUUUUGUUUUUAAGUUUCUUUUAGUUAUGCCUUCAUUAUUGUAUGUAGCUCAGUUAAAUUAUUUGCUAAAUCUUCUAUUGUAAGAUUAUUAACUUUUGAAAAGUCAAAAGUAUCAAGCAUAAUUCGUAAAAAAAACUAUUUAUUGUAUAGAAGAAUAUAUUAUAUUAUUAUAAGAAAAUUUUAUCAAUAGUAAUAGAAUUUUUUAAUCACCUUAUUAAUAAUUGAUGGUACACUUCAAAUACUGCUUCAAAAUUUGGUCUAUGUACUCUGUUUAUCCAUUGAUUUGAGGAUAAAAAGCCAAAGAUAGCUUUUUAUCUACCUUUAAAAUCUUAAAAAUAUUUUUUUAAAUCUUAAUAAAAAUUAAUCUUCUUAUUUAAUAUAAUAUUCUUCCAUAAUCUAUCAAAGCAAUAAAUAUUAUCAAGAAAAAACUUAGUAUUUUUUUUUAUCAAUGAUAAAUUUUGUACAUGGUGCAAAACGUACCAUCUUAAUAAAUUGAUCUACUAUCACAAAUAUAAAAUCAUACAAACUUGUAACUAAAAGGGUGUAAUAAAAUCCAUAGAAAUAAAAAACCAUUGUUAUUUUGAAAUAAGUAAUGGCUAAAAAGGUCUAUAAGGUUGAUGACAAAGAGAUUUUAAUCUUCAAAAUAUGUCACAAGAUUGUACAAAGUCUUUGAUUACCUUUUAUAUUUGAGGCUACCAAAAAUCUCUUAAUAUUAAUUCCAAAGUCUUGUGGAAUCCAAAAUAUUUAAUUGUUGAAAAAUUAUGACAAACUUAAAAAACACAUAAGCAUAUUUUAUUUUCUAGAGUAUAUAAACAUUCCUUCAAAUAGAAUAGAUUAUUCUUGAACUUGAAUUUAAAAAUUUCAUGGGACUCAGAACUUGCUUAAAAAAGGUUGAAUCAACAAUUGAUGUUGAUUUCAUUCUUUCAAGAUAAAAAUUCUUUUGAGUCCCACUAAUAGAUCUUAAUUAAUAGAAUUAUUAAAAAUAUAGAUUUUAAUUAUUUAAAUAUAAAAAUAUUAAUAUAAAAGAAUAUUAUUGAUGAUUUAAGUAUUUAUUAUAAAUUUAUUUUCUACCUAUUAUAUAUAUAUAUAUAUAUAUAUAUAUAUAUAUAUAUAUAUAUAUAUAUACAUAUAAAAAAAUCUAUAAAUAUUAGUCAAUAGUUAGAAGAAGCAUGAAAAUAAACCUCAUAUCUUUUUAGUUAUAUUAAGAAUAGAAUUUUUAGUAGAUUUAAAUUAAUUUUAUUACUAUAAAAAUAUUAAAAUAAAAAAAUUGGCUUUGAUUUGAUAUUAGUAUUAUAAAAAUAUUAUAAAGAAUUUAGAGUUUAUUUAGAAUUUUUAAAGAAGUUUUAGAAAAAAAUUCAAGAUUUUAAUAAAAUUGAGUUUUUACCACCUUGAGAGCUAUUAUAAAGAUGUGGAGGAAGAUUUAAAGGCCAUUUAUAUAUCACAUGCUAAUUGGAUGUUUUUGGAUACUAUGGUAUAGUUAAAAAUAAAAAUAUUAUGAAUUUUAUCAAUAAAAAAUAGGAAGAUCAACAACUAAUGUAAUUCUUAUAAAAAAGGAUGUAGCAAGUUUCUAUUGAAAAAAUAGAAUAAGAAAGACACAAGUAAGUAGAAAUCAAAAUUAUUUCAUAUAAAAAAAAUGUAGAAUGAGAUGCUUCUUUUUUCCAAUAUUCUUUAUUUAUAGGAAGAAUUUAUAUCUAUUAUAGUUGAACUUCAUCUAUAAUCAUCUUCAUCCAUUCAAAUUAAUCCUAGAUUCUUCUUAACCUAGCAUUUAUGUCAAAUCUUAGUUGCCAUAUUAAUAAAUUAUCUUCAUUAUUUUAUUAUUUUUUAACUAUUAGCAACUUAUCUAAGAUAAUUGUAUCUUAUUUUUAUUUUUAUACUCCCUUUUUGCUAUUGGUCAAAGACUUUUAAACUUAAUGUCUUUAUCAACUUUUGAUGCCUAUCUUUUAUUAACACUUUUUUUAGAAAAUCAAUAAGUAUAUCUUUUGUUAUAUAAUACUUUAUAUCAAUCACUCCGAUUUCAAUCUUCUUUCUUAUGAAGUAAUGUUGAAUGUCAAUAUAUUUGGUUUUUGAGUGAUACUUUGGAUUCUUUGCAAAAGCAAAACAUCCUUGGUUAUCACACUUUAUUGAAGUUGCUUCUAAUUGCAUCAAUCCAAUGUCUUCUAUGAUUUGUCUUAGCCAAAUUGCCUCCAUUGUAUCUUAACUUGCUGCCAUGUAUUUCACCUCCAUUAUGGACCUUGCAAUUGUUAGUUAUUUCUUAUAAUUCUAUAAAAUUGUCUCUAUUCUAAUAAAAAAUACAUAUCUUGUUGUUGACCUUCUAUUAUUUGUAUCUUCAAUUCAAUCUACAUCAUAAUAACUAUGUAAUGCAAUAUUAUCUCCUCCUAGAUACAAGUUAAAGUUCAAAUUAUCUUUGAAAUACUUUAUAAUCUUCUCGAUGGUUGCCUAAUGGAUUGGUCUAGCUUUUAACAUGUGUUGACUCACAAUACUCACUGCAUAUGUAAGAUCCAUCUUUGUACCAAUUAUUGUAUAUAUAAAUAAGCCUAUUAUUACCUUGUAUAGAACAUCUUUCAUUUCAUCUUCAUUUUCAAAAAAUUCCUUAUUUGUGAGCUUCGUCAACUUCAAAUUGGUCUCUAAAGAUAUUUUAAUGGGCUUGCACUCCUUUGUAUUGAAUUGUUUCAAUACCUCUUCAAUAUAAUUACUUUAACUUAUUAUAAUAAUUUUAUUAUCACAAUUUUUUACAAAUUCCAGUACUAAAUAAUAAUAGAACUAUCUCAAAAUAUUCAUUUCAUAUUUUUAUUUCUUCAACCAAUUCAUCUUCUUUAUGAUAUUAUUUAAUAUAAUUAAAUCAAUAAUAUAGAGAAUAACAAUCAAUAUGAACUCAUUUGAUUGCAUCACAAACAAGGAAUGAUUAGCUUCAUUCUUUACAAAUUCUUCAUUCACAAAGAAUAUGUCAAUUUGUUGGUACCAUACCCUUAAUAAUUAUUUUACUCAAUACAAGGAUUUCUUUAAUUUACAAAGAAGGUAUUAUUUGCCUUCUUCAAUAAUUCCUUAAAGUUGAAUCAUAUAGAUGUCUUCUUCCAACUUUCUAUUCAAGAAAGUUGUCUAUAUAUCCAUUUGAUGCAUUUCAAAGUCCAUUUCUAUCCCAAUUGCCACAAUAGUUCUAAUAGUAGUAAAUUUGGCUAUGGAAGCAAAUGUUUCAUUGAAAUUAAUAUCAACAACUUGUGAGUAGAUUUUGAUAAUUAAUCUUACCUUAUAUUUUAUAAUUUUAUCUAUUUCAUCUAUUUCGAUUCUAAACACCUACUUACUACCAAUUCAAGAUUGAUUUAAUAGAAGUUAAAUCAAUUUCCAUGUUCCAUUAUUUAUGAGUGAUUUAUACUCUUUUUUCAUAGCUUUCUCUUACUUCAUAGUAUCCAUGGAUUAUAUUGCAUGACAAAAAUUCAAUAGAGUAACAAAAAGUACAACAUUGACAUGUUCUUCACUUAUUUGAAGAAAGAUAUGAUUCUUCUAGUAUUCACCACAUGGUCUUUUUUCUCUCAAAGUAUAUUUUCUUUUAUUUGAAGAGAAUUCAACUUAUUGCAUCCAUAAUUUCAUCUAAUCUUUUUUUCCUUUAAAGCUUUUCUUUUUUCAUUUAAAAGUUAGUAGGUUUUAUCAUCAUCAUUAUAAUCUAUGAUAUCUUUAUUGCUAGUCCUAAAAAUUGUAGAUGCAUUCUUCUUCAUCUUUAUUGCUUCUUCACCUUCAUUCACACCUCCACCAUCUUUAUUAUUAUUAUCUUGUUUUACUUAAUUAACUAAAUUUAAAGAUAUAUCUAUAAACAUAAAAUUACUGUCUUGAAUACAUCUAGAAGUACUCACAAGCAUUCUUAUGUUCAAAAAAAUACUACAUCACGACUUUUGAUGAUCUUCUUGGUAUUCAAAUACAUUAAUCUAUAUGCCUUAGUACUUUCAUAAUAUCCAAAAAAUAGACAUUUUGUACCUUUUGCAUCAAGUUUAGACCUCAUAUAAUUUGGAUUCUUUGCAUAAGCAAUACAUUCCAAAGUCUUCAUGUAUAAAACACAACGUUUCUUCCUAUUUCAUACUUCUUUUAAAAUCAUUGAUAUUAGUGCACAUGUAGGGCACUUAUUUCUUGUAUAUACUGCAUUCACCUUAGUUUCUGCUCAAAAUUCAUGCCCAAGGUAUUGAAUAUGUAGCAUAAUCCUUGCUAUUUCAACAAUGGUUCAAUUUCUUCUUUUAGCAAUCCUAUUUUGUUGUAGCAUGUAAAAAGUAGAGGUUUGACUUGUAAUAUCUUAAAUUUUUGAGAAGUCAUCAAAUAUUUUUAAGUACCUAACACCUUGAUUUUGAACUCAUAUUAUUUUUUUACAAGUGCCUUAAACUCCUUAAACCUUAAGAAUCAUUCUUUCUUGGAUUUGAGGAUGAAAAUUCAUAUCUUCUAUAAAAAAUCAUUAAUGAAUGUGACAAAGUACUUUGCUCUUCUAAUUGAUGGUGUCUUCAUUGGUCCACAAAUAUUUGAAUGCACAAUCUCCAAAAACUUGCUUAUACGUAUUACAACUCUACUUAGAAGAGAGGCCCUUUGUUAUUUGCUUUGGAUAUAAUCUUCACAAGUGUUAUGGCAUUGUGACUAAAUUGACCAAGAUCCAAGCUACUUAUCAUGGAUUGGAGUUCUUUCAUGUUCUUUACAUUCAAAUAACCAAGGUUUUGAUGUCAAAUUCUAAAUUUGUCUUAAUUACAUAAAACUCAGUAAAUGCAGCAACUUUAAUUUUAUUCACUUUUUAAUAUUUGAUGAAGUAGGGAUUGCCAUUUCUAAAGUCCUUCGAAAUAUCAUCUCUAUCUAAUGUAUUUACAAAAUAUCCAUUCUUAUCAAAUUAUACCUUAUAACUAUGUGAAACUAGUUUAUAUACUAAAAAGAGGUUUUUCUUGAUCUUAAGUACAUGCAAGACAUCCUUCAAUUUGAUCUUUUUGAUUUAUUCUCUCACAACAAUUUUUAUAACAAUUGAGCAUAUUUCAAUGGCUAGUACCAUGCUAUUGUCUUCUAUAAAAAUAUUUAUUUCUAAAUUUUCUUUAUAAGUGUGAAAUGAAUAUUUGUAUAGAGUCAUGUACUUGGUGGCACUUGAAUCAAAAAUUGACAUGGAUAUGGUAGCUAUGGAAGUGCCUUCACUUGCCAUGAAUGCAAAAUAAUAUCCUCCAAAUUGCUCAUAUACAUUAUUGGUACUUUCAUAAUUUUUUUUUUUUUUUUUUUUUUACUUUAUAGCAAUUUUUUAUAAAGUGAUAUGGUUUUUUAUAAAUAAAGUAAAUUCUUAUACUACCAUAUUUAUUAAAGUAUCUUUUUGUAUCUUGUCUUGAAAGGAGAGUCAAAUCUUCACUUUAAAGUUCUUUUUCUUUCUUCUUGAUUAUUUCAUAGGCAAGUCUUGCCAUCAUAUAGUCUAUUGUAAGUACUUUCAAUUUAAUCAACUUCAAUGCCACAAUGAGAUAGUUAUUGGAUUCAAGAAGAGUCAUAAGCAAGAUCAUGACAAUAUCACUUUCUUCUAAAGACUUAUUAAUAAUUGUUAGUUAAUUUAUAAAAGCAUUUAUCUUAUUGAUAUAAGUCAUGAAGUCUUCACGUUCUUCCAUAUUGCAAGUAAAAAAUUUCUUAUUUGUAGAGAUAAUAUUGGAGAAUUUCUUAUUCUCAUAUAUAUUAUAAAAAAUCUUCCAUGCUUAUGCUGAUCUUUUAUAAGAGAUAAUGUGAAAAAAAUUGACUUCAUCCAAAUUGGUGGAAAUUAUGCCAAAAUCCUUCUUUUUACAUCUUUUGAAGUUCUUCCUUUCUUUAGUAUGUGCAUAUAUGCUUGGAAGAUCUUUACUUUCAUCUGCAAUAUUUCAAAGGUCCAAAGAUAUUGACAAAAGCUCCAUUUUGUCCUUCAAAUGGUAGAAAUUGUCUCCUCUAAAAUUUUCAAUCUCUCAAACCUUCAUCCUCGCUAAAAGUCAUAUAUAAAAAGAAUUCUAUCAAAAAAUAUCAAGAAAAGGAGUCUUUAUGUCUUCAAAAUUAUCAAUUUAAUUUAAUACUAGCAAAAUCUCAUAAUAUCCUUUUGUAAACAAUGGAGUGUUUUCUCACUCCAAACACUCUCAAAUCAAGUUUUGAAGCUUCUAACAAGUAUGUGCACUUCAAAGAACCUUACUAUCAAGAUCUCCUAUUCAUUCAAAUUAAUUAUUUUACAAUACAUACAAGGUAAGUGAAGCAUCUUCAACAACACAAAAAAUACUAUCAAGGUCUUUCUAUAAGGUCUUAAACUCAAAAUUCUAGCAAUUAAGAAUCCACCAAACAAUGUUAAUCUUAAUUGUUAAAAAUUUCUUAGAAUAAAAAACUACCAAAUAGAGUUUAUCACCUACUUUUAUUUGUGACAACACUAUAUCUAUAGCAAAUUAUGAUGUAUCUAUUUUUAUAAAAAAUACUUUCAAAAAGUCUACUCAAUAUAAAAUUAGUACAAAAAUAAAUGCUAUCUUCAAAGCUUUUAAAUAUGCUUCACUUUCUAAGUUCUAUUCAAAUUUGUCUUUACAUAUCAAAUGUGUAAGGAAAAUUGCAACUUAAGAAAAGUUCUUGAUAACAAUUUAAUAAUGAUUGAUAGAUCUCAAAAAUAUCAUACAUCUUUGAUUAUUUUUAGAAUCUUUUAAUCUAUGAUAUUUUAGACCUUCUUAGGAUUCAAUGUAAGGCCAUCAUUUAAAAUAAUGUAUCUUAAGAAGUUAAUUUGAGUAAUAUGAAAUACACACUUUUCUAUCUUAGUAUAUAAUCUUGUAUUAUUAAGAAUAUAAGAUUUUUAGAUCUAUAAAUAUUAUAAUUAUUUAAAAAAAUCUAUACAUCUAUUAUAUUAUCUCAUGUUUAAAGCAACAAGUCCUAGAAAAGAUUCUCAAUUUACUUUAUAAAUUGAUAAAAUUGAAGGUCUAUUAAUUGAUAUUAGCAAGAAAGUUUGAUCUAUAUUUAAGACAAAGAUGGUUGAUAGAUUCCUUCAAUGAAAUUUAUUGUUUCAUAUUAAGAUUAGAAAACCAUCUUAUUAUUUAAUUAUUAUUAAGGCCUUUGUAACUAACUUCAAACAACAUAUUUUUUAUUCUAUCAUAUAUAGUAUCUACCUCCAAUAGUAUCACUAAGCAUCAAGAGUCUUUUUUAAGAUUAUAGUAUCAAAUAUGUUAUAUCUUGCCAUUUAUUUAAAAAUGACAUGUCUCUCAUAAGAAUUUUUAUUUAAUUUCUAACAUAAUAUAAAUAAAGAUAAUUUAAAUUUUUUAUUAAAAAAUUCUAUUAAUAAAAUUUUUAAAAAUAAAUUUAUUGACUAUUUAUUCUCCAUGUUACAAAAAUAUUCUAUAUAUAAAAAUUUGAAUUUUUUUCUUCUUGAUUUAUAUUAUUAUAUUAUUAAUAUUUAAACAUUGAUCUUAGUAGAUAUUGCCAAUAAAGAAUAGCAAUAAAUUUUGGCACAUUUGUAAGAUUUUUGUAUGGCUUUUAUAUGCAUUCACUAACAUCAUAUUUGUACUAAGCUACAAGAUGUUUUUAUUUUGUUUUAGUACUAUCUUGAACCUAAGAGUUUCCCUACUUCAAACUUUUAGUUAUUAUUUAUUUUAAUAAGAAAUAAUAGUAUUUUUAUUUUUGCCGUGUAUUAAUUGCAAUACAAGACUCAAGAAAAAAAAUAUAGAAUAUAAGAUGGAUCUUUAUUGUUUGCUGUAAUUGUAAUCAAUAUAGAAGAAAUUAAUUUAUUUUUGGAUAAUAAAUGGAUCUAAUCUUUGAUAAUCAAGCUUCUUAUAAGAUUAAUUAGUCUUGAUAUUAUGACAAAGUAAUUAUAUCUUAUUACAAACUUUAAAUAUAAGAUGUUCUAUUUUAAAAUGAUGGCAUUAGCCUUUUGUCAUUUUUUAAAUUCUUUUGAUUAUAUCUAUAUAUUUUAUUAUAUAAAAUUCUUACUAAGAGCAAAAAAGUUGUCAAAUUGAUUUGAUAAUAGUUGAUAGAAUAUUAUAAAUAUUAUUCUAAUACUUUAUUUUUUUAUUUUUGUAUUUAAUCAAUUUAAAAAUAAAAAACAGAAGAUAAUUUGAUGUCUAUUGUUAAUAUGAUAAAAAGUACCUUCCAAAAUCUUGAUACAAAUAGAAGACCUUAAUUAGAUAAAAUUUUACUUUAAAAUCUAUAAUAUAAAUAGAUAUUAUAAAAAAAAAAAAAAACUUAGAUCAAUCUAUGAUAUAAAAAUUUAGCAUCUCAUUCCACUUCACCAUAAGUUGCGAUAUCCAAAUUACAAAUUGUAUGGUCCUCAACUUUGCUAGGAUAAUAUUUCAACAACACAUCAUUUGCAACAUCACAACAACAUUUUAAAUUCCGAAAUGAUUCUCUAAAAGUCAAUUUUUUGUUUAAUUAUAAAAUAGCUUCUUGACAUAAAUUUGAUUUUUUAAAAUUCUUUAUUAAUAAAUAAUAUUUAUUCAGUAUAAGAAGAAAAUCACAUAAUAAAAGUUUAAACUAUAAUCCAACAUUAUUGCAAGUCUUUAGAUUGUAAAAAACUUCACAUCGUGUUUGAUUUUCUUCUCAAAGUUUUUACAUUGGUUUCUAUUUAAUUAUUUUUUUUCUUCAGUAAAUCCUUAAAUAAUCUAUUGUAGAUUUCAAAUCCUUCCCAAGUAUCUCUACUAAUACCUUGCAUAUUUGAUAAUUUUUCAAUAUCUUUAACGUGUUUGUCAUAUUUUUCAAUAUUACUUGAAGAACUUGACAUAAAAAAACCAUGUAAAUAGUUUCAAACCAUGAGUACAUAUUGCUUGUUUAAUUCCAAAAGAUAUGCCGUAGUAAAAAAUAAUUAAUAUUCUAAUUAUAUUUUAUCACUAUAUAUAAAUAAUUAUACAUUAACUUUAUUUUUUAUUUCAAAAAUAGCCAAAAUAUAAUCAUUUUAUUUGCAUUAUUCUACAAAGCAUAUAAUUAUCUAUUCUACUCAUUAAAUCUAUUAUUAUGAUAUAAUCUUAAAUCUUCAAUAAUUUUAUAAUUAAUAUUUUUUUCUUUAUAUAUUUUAAUUAUGUAAUUUUAAAUAAUACCUUUAAUUUAAACCUUGCUAAUUUUAAAUCAUAUUUCUAAAGCUCAAUUAAAUGUUUUUCGAGGAAAAACACUUCAUAAACUUUGAUACACAACUAUAAUAAUCUUUUAAUAAGAUAUAAAUCUGCUUUAUAAACUUUUUAAUAAGAGUGUAAAAUUAUAAUAUAAUAUUCUUUAAAUGCAUCCAUCUUCUUUUAAAUAAAUAAAAUAACCAAUAAAAAUUUCAAAUAGCAUCCAAAAAAAUUAUAUCUUCUACACAAUCAAUCAAUGACAAAUUCUUAUUGCAAAUUUUAAUAAAGAUAGUUUUUAACUUUCUAUAUUUUUUUUAAUAAUAAAAUUUGAUAAAUGUUUUUACUAUAAGUGAGACUCAUUUAUCUAUUUAAUUCGAUUUUACCUACACUUCUAUAAACUUCUUUAAUCUUAAAUUUAUCCUUACAAAUUACAUGUAUUUAUUUUAUUAGUUUUAAUAAUAAUAUCCACAUUUGAUAGACCUAGUUGUAUUUAUCAAAAUAACUUAUUAUUUGACACAUUAUUUUCAUCACUUCUAACUUAUUAUGAAUUUUAAAAAAAUAAAAAAAUAAAGGUAACAAAAAAAUAUUAAUAUAUAUAUAUAUAUAUAUACAUAUAUAAUAUAUAAAUAUUUUUAUCAAUUUAAAAUUCUUUCUAUAUCUUUGAUUAUAUUAGUUCUUCCAUAUAAUAAUACUAUUUAUAAUAUCUCAUCUCUAAAAACAUAAUAUUCCAUCUCUAAAAAAAAAAAAAUUCAAUAUAAAAAAAAUUACUUUUAAAAAUCAAUUAAACAGUGUAAAAAUUAUUGAUGUGUAUCUUACAAACAAUCUUGUAAUCUUAUUUAUAAUACAUUCUUGGAAAUUUAUUCAAAAUCUCUACUUUUAUAUUAAAAUUAACAUAAUGCAUUAAUUUUAUUUGAUAUUUUAUCAACAUAUUUAAGUUUAUACUUUGUUGAAUGUAUCAUAAUUAAAGAAAUAAUAUAUAGAAGUAUAUGAAAUAUAAAAAUUUAAUAUUUUAAAGUUUUGAAUAAAUUUUUUUAUUCAAAUAAAUUAUAUUCUAUUCUUUUAAGCUACUUUCAAAAUGCUACAUAAAACUUUAUUUUAUCCUAUUUUUUUCUUAUUUUAAUUAUAAAAUAUAUUUCUUUAUUCUAAAUUUUAUAAUAUAUAUAUAACCUCAAAUACUUUUUGAAACUUUUAAUAAUAUAUAAUGAGCCAAAAUCAAACAACUAAGAUUUCAAAAAACUAUUCUUGUAUUUGCUUUUAUGCUGCAAUCCACCUAAUCCACCACCACCAUCACCAAAUGUUUCUCUAUUUCAACUAGUUCUUGAUAAUUACUUUUUUUUGAAAAAAAAUAAAAAUAAAAAAUAAGUGAAAAAAAAUCUUUAUUAACUAUUCCAAAAAAAACAUUACUUAAAAUAACAAGAAUAAUAUAUAUAAUUAGAUUUAAUAACUAUUUAACAACUUCACAUAAUAUGUACCUCUGUAACUUAAGCCAAGGUGUAGAUCCUUAUUAACAAAUAUAUGCAGACCAAGCUACUACUAACUCAAACCUUCCAUAAAAUCUUAUUAUAAUUUUAAAUAAUAUGUCAAUUUGGCUAUGAAGAUAUUAUUUUUAAAUACAUGCACACAUUAUAAUCUAUACAAUCUAUCUAAUCUACAACCACCCUCACCAAACUACUUUUUAAUUCAACUAGGUCUUGACAACUACUUAGUUUUUAAAAGAAGUAUGCAAGACAAAAGAAUCUUUAUUAUAUAUUUUAGCCAUGGCACUACUUACAUAAAAGAAAGCAAUGUAAAAGCAUGUUAACAUGUGUAAAGAAAUAAGGUACAAAACUUUUUGAAAUCUCAAGAUAAAACAAAAAGAAAUAGGUGAGGCAAAAUGAGCCUUUUUUUCAUUAGGUCUAGACAUGCUUGGGAUAGAAAUGCAAAUAAAUAGUAGUCAUUGUCUAUGAAAUAAAUAAAAGUUUUUCAAAAAUAUCCUUUGUACUAAUAUAAUAACGUUUGGCUUUGGAAGAUAGCUAUGGCCAUGCCAAAACUCCUUUAUUUAUUUUUUUCAUAAAACCACCAAACAUUGUUAGCUCUAGAAAUAGCCACGUAUAUCAUUUUUAUAAAAAACCUCAAAAUUAUAUUAGAUCAAUAUAAUCUUAUCUAAAAAUGAAAGUAACUUCAAUUAAUAGGAAAAUUAAUAUUAAUUAUAUUUUUGAUAUUACAUCUCUAAAAUUUAAACUUGAUUUUGGAUAAUUGAAUACUAUAGAUAUGUAGUCUCACUUUGAUGUAGUAUUUUUAGGAUAUUUUUUCAUUAAAAUAAUGGCAAAUAUAGUAUAUUUUGAAGCUCAAAGUUAAGAAUUGAUCAAUCAACUAGUCCAUGAAGAGUUUGAAUUGUAAUCCAUCACAAUAACAAUGUAUAAGUAAAAAAAGGCAAUCACAAGAAAUUUACAAAUUGAAAGGUUUUAAAACUAAGAGGAUAGAUUUAAUAUAAUUACAAAUUUUGAAAUCAAUUAUAAGAGGUAUUAUAAAUCAAAAUUAUAAAUUUAUUUGAUGUAUGAUUUUAAGUAUAAUUUAAAUAUAAUAUUUUUUAAAUAAUUAAAUAAUAUUUUAAGUCUUUAUUUUAUUUCUUUAUUAUUAAUUUAAUUUAUAAUAUAAUGUUUUAUAUUAUUUUUGAUAAUAUUUAAUAAUAAAAUAAUAUUAAGUUUAAAAAUAUUAUUUUUAUUUUUAUUUAAUCUAUUAUUUAAAAGAAUAAUUUAUUAAAAUUAUUUAUAAAAUUAAUAUUAUAUUAAAAAUAUUUAUAUAGAUUAAAUUUGUAAUUAAUGUAUGUUAUGGUAUUAUCUACUAAAAUAAAAUUUCUAUUAUAUAUUUAUUGUCCUCUUUUUAUAAGCAUAUUAUUGUAGAUUUCAAUUCUUUUAUAAUUUUAUUUUAUUCUUUUAACUUUAUAAAAAUCUACAUUCAUUAUUAACAAAAUGAAUUACAAAGAAGAAAAACGUCAAUACAAACUUGUAUCAUUCAAAAAAAGUAGAUAUUCACUCUAAGGUAGUAUAAUAUUAAAACUAGAAUGACUAUUUCAAAAGAUAAGUAGACUAGAAAUUCUUAAAACAAGACUAAAAAUAAGAAAGAAAUUCAUAUAAGUGAAGAAGGUUUUUUUCUUGCUUUUAUAUAUAUUAUCUAAUUAAGAGUUAUGUGGUGAUAUUUUAUUAGACUUCCAAUACAUGUCCAACUUAUCAAACAUGUGUCUAAUUUGCACGACAAGUUUUCUACAUGUAUGCCAUGUAGCCAACUUGUAUCAUUAAUUGCCAACAUAUGUAAUAUAUAGCCAAUAUAUCAUGCCCAAAGCUUCCCGUUGAGUAAUAGUGUAAUAUCGUUUGGCAGCCACUAAUUAUCGACUGACAUAAUAUAUUAGAUGAUCCAAGCACUUUUCAUUCUUCUGACUUAACAUUGAUCCAAUAGUAAUAUUAGAUGCAUCAAAAUACACAUGAAAUGGCUUUGUCUAACAAGGGGCUAUUAAUAUUGGUAUAGAUACCAAUUUUUCCUUCAAUUCUUCAAAUGCCACUUUACACUCCUUGAUCCAAACUAGAUUGGUUCCAUCCGAGAGAGGUUUCUUUAAAAGAUUAGUCAGAAAUUGACAAACGACUGCAAACAAAUGAAUUAAUUGUCAAUAAUAACUAACAUAGCCACUAAAACCACAAACACCCAAUACUGUCUCUGGUCUUAGCAAGUUCAUUAUGUCUUGAACUUUAUAUAGAUCAGUGGCAAUACUGCUUUUGGAGACUAUGUGCCCCAAGAAUUUUCCAGACAGAACACCAAAUUCACAUUUAUCAGAAUUCAAUGAUAUUCCGCAUAUAGCACAUUGAUCCAAACAUUUGCCUAGGUAUUUUAGAUGAUCUUAUUUUGUACUGAAAGUACAAAAGUCAUCUAAAAAUAUCUCCAUAAAUAUUUGUAAGUAAUCUUAAAAUGCCUAAGUCAUCACCCUCUGAAACAUGGCUAUAGCAUUACAUAAUCCAAACGGCAUAACACGAUAGGUAAAUAUUCUCCAGUCUAUAGUAAAAGUAGUCUUUAGCUAAUCUUCUUUUACAAUUUUAACUUGAUUAUAACCAAAAAAUCCAUCUAAGAAAGAAUAACAUUCAUAUCCUGCUAUGACAUCUAAUAUACUAUUUGUAAAAGGUAAUGGAAAGUAAUCUUUUUUGAUAGCCACAUUUAGUUUCCGGAAUUCCUAAAAAAAUCUAAUUUUUUCUUUUUUCUUUGGCACUAUCAUGAUUUGAGAAACCCACUCGCUGUUCAAUACCAAAUAAAUAAAACCAACCUCAAUAAGCUUGUCUAUUUCUUCUUUUACUAUUAGGAAAUAUUUUGGAUUAAGUUGGAGUUGCAUCUAAUGGACAGUUUUAGCAUCCUCCUUCAAAAUAAUCUGAUGCUCAUAGACUUCUGUGGAGAUACCUUUCAAAUCAGCAUAAGUCUAAGCAAAAGCAGAUUUAUGGUGAAUGAAAAAUUCUUUCCAACAUGUCAAGUCUUGAUCUUGAAUAUCUUUAUAAAUUUUAAUUGUUCAAGAUAUUUCAUUUAUUGCCAAGUUAAUAAUUUGACAUAAAGAUUCAAUUGUCUUUUCAUCUUUUAGCUCUCUUAUCGAUUUUGAUCAAUUUGCCAAGUUCGACAUAUUUGAGGCACUCAAUUUUGAUUCCAAUGCAUUGACCUGGUGCAUAUCAUAUUUGUUCAUCCAAUUUGCAAUAGCAUGAUCAAAAUUUUCCAUAUCUAACAGGUAUAUCAAAUAUUCUCUCAGUCUUCUAUAUUGAUAUACCACCUCAUGGUAUUGAAUUGUUUUGAAGGAUGCUCCUUCUUUUGGUACAAUAGCAUCUUCAUCAGAAUUGAGCUCAUCGUCAAAUGUCAAUUCAGAUGCUGGCAUUUGAGAUUCUUCAUGAUAGUGUAUUGGAUACAUUUAUAACACCAUCUUGUUUUUGCCUCUCUUGAUUGUCAAAGUACCAUGAUUCCAAUCAUUCUUGGCUUUUGCUUAAUAAAGCCACGAUCAUCCUAAUAAAAUCAGAUAUGAUAAAAUUGAACGUUGUAACUAUAAAACGAUAUAGUCUAUUUUGUAUUCAAUACCUAUAAUUAUGAUUUGAAUAUUAUGCAAGAUAUCCAUUGGUUUGAUUUGGCUAUGAUCUACCAUCCGUAAUACCAAUGUUGUGGAUACUAAAUAUGCUAAGUCUAAAACAUCUAUUGUAUUUGCGUUCAUUAAAUUGACGUUGGAGCUACCAUCUACUUAGAUUCUAAAAAUCAUAAUGCCAUCUAUCAAUACGUCAAUGAUUGGUGCGCCGAAGUCAUGAUUCAAACUGACCUCAUGUACUUCUUUAUUGCAUUCCCUAUACCAUGUUAACAAUGAAUUCAAUAUAGAACGAUACUAUGAUGCUAUUGCUAGAAGUUGCUUUAUUAAAAUAGAAGAUUGAAUAACAUCCAGAUCUUUCAGAAUGUCAUAAGACUCUAUAUUUAAAGCAAUUCUCAAUGUCCUCUUUCUUUUCAUUUGUUUCAGCUUUAUCCCUUGAGGUAAUAUAUUUUUCAUUUGUAGACUUGGAAUUGGAACAGUUGGAGGAGCUUUCUCGGAAUGGCCAUUCAUAAGAAGAUCUUUUAAUAAAUAAGAUGUCUCAUGGAACUGCACAAAGGAUAAAAUUAUUUUUGGCUGAGCCAAGAUCUCACUGGUUGGAACCUCAUUGAUUUGCAUAGAUGGACCAAGUCUCAUCAUCGGUAAGAUGCCCAUUACAAGAACUAGAUUUGACAUUCCCAUAAUUGGUUUGAAUUAGUCCUUCGCAACUAAUUCACCCAAGUAUUGAAUUGGUCAUUUUCUCUUUUGUUGGCUCUUGAUGAGUACGGCUUUGAAACAUUCCACUUGAUUUAUCAAAGAAUCUUAGGAACCUUGAUUAUUAUCUUCAAUCUUACUUUAUAGGUAGAUCUGCUAAUCACGGUUGUUGAAAUUGAAUAAAGCAUUAUAUUAUUGAUAUGUUUACUUUAACUGCUUACAAUUUCUACAAACUGGAGCAUAGUCAUCACUAGCUCUUGAAUUAGGACAUUCACUAGCAUAAUGACUAAUCUACCUACAAUGAUGAAGUGGUCUUCUUCCACCUCCAUCAAGCAUAUUGGAUGUCUCUAUUGGUAUAUAUUGGUAGACUUAUUUCAAGUUGAAUUGAUAAAUGAUUUUGAUUGUCUUGUUGGUACGAAGAGAACUGGAAUCAAUUGUCAUAAUAGAAAAUAUUAUUAAAAUAUUGGUUGUUCCUUUAUAUAGUUAUAGGAGUUCGAUGUAAAAUUCGAAUUAUAAUUUGGACCUUGAACAUUAUUAAAGGCUCAAUUUUGCCUAUUUGAAUGAUUCCUGUUCCAACCAAAUGUAUUUUCCAUUUGAACUUGAUUGACAUCCUAUUGAGUAGAUGGAAUCAUGGUUUGAUUAUCAAACUGUUGUUGUUUUUUUCAAUUCCAACAAUUAGCUACCAAAUGCUUUCCUCCACAGAAUAUACAUUACACCAUCAUUUGUAGAGGAAUGGGACAUUCUAUCACCAAAUGAACUUGACCUUUAUAAUUACUACACCAUAUAUUGGCUCUAGUAUUAGUAGAUUUUUACCUCUUUUCUUUAUCCUUUGUCAUAUUGACUACCAUUUCCUCUAUUUUCUUAAUCAAAUUUAACAACAAGGUUUCAUUAGAAUCCUUUGGAGCUGAUACUAUUGGCAAUUCUGUCAUAGUCAACAGUUGCUACUAAUAAGAGAAGUAUGGGAACUCUGAUGUUGUCAUAUUUGAUGGUAUAACUUGCAAUGGGGUGAUAUUAACUGUUCUCUGUGUAUUGAUACUUGAAUUAGUUUCUGUAUCAAAUAUUCUCAAAUAACUAACCACUACUCCAUUCCAUACCGAGAUUUGAUAACUUCUUUGAAUUGGAAUCAUAGUGGCUCCCGUAGUUAAAAAUUGGUCAUAAUGGCAUUCCUCCCAAACCUUGGCUUGAUUAAAAGAUACAAUUACCAUAUUUGUUUGAGCUUCUUUUACAAAUAUUUUUAGUUUGAGUGGGUGCAAUCCAUUGAUUAAUAUGGAAAAUACAAAAGCCUUUGGCAUUUGGUGAUUUAGCCACUUGCGGAGUAUAUCUGCCACAUGACCAUAGUAAGAUUCUAUUACCUCUUCUCGACUCAUUUUGUUAUUCAUUAAUCUUUCUUGAAGUCAAUUUCCAAAACCAAUUAGGCAAAAUUGGGUUAAAAAUGUAUUCUUCAAUGCUUUCCAAUUAGAAAAUUGACCCACCAGUUGGCAGUUAUAUCAUUCAAAUGUCGUGUCUUUUAAGGUCACUAGCAGCCAUUGCAACCAAAUAUCUUCAAUUCUCCUAUUAUUGGCUACACAUACGAUAUAGAACUAAGAUAAGUGUUGAUCUAGAUUUGCACCUAGUAAGCCCCUAAAAGUAGAUAAUAGAACCACGCUAGUUGUACGAUUGCCCACAUCACCUAUUUGAACUGCUAUUGGAAUUAUCGGAUUACUCGUCGUCAUUGAAGAAGACAAUGUGCCACUUAAUCUCUUAUUAAAAUAACCAUUGUCUUCUCCAAAUAUCUUUAUUGAACUUUUUAACCUUUUUAAUUUGCUAUUAUUAUUCCUAAAUAAUUUUAUUGGUUGAAUUAAAGGUAAAAUCGACAAAUUUUAAAACAUGCUGAAUUGGCCUUUAUUAGCAAGCAAUUUAUGCCAUUCUAUUGCACCAGUUUUGAUAAAAUCAUCAAUUUUCGCUAUUGAGAAGGUAUCCAAUGGAAUAUCCAAUGGAGUAUCCAAUGGAGUAUCCAAUUCUUCUAUGUUUCUUCCACUUGUAGUUAACCAGCUCAAGAAAUAUGCUUGAUUAUUAACAAAAUUUUCCACAAGUGUUCUUGGAAAUUUUCUUAAUGAUAUAUAUGUCUAAAAUAUUAGAGGUCGGUCAGCUUCUAGGUAUGCUCGGAUAUGUUGACAAGCAUGCAACGAUGGCUUAAUCCAACUUUGUCAACACUUCUUUUUUAACUUGCAUUCUUGCUUGUUUUGCAACAAUUUUUUUGCUUGCACUUUCUCUUGUCUUUCUUUUGACUAACGUAUUUUUUUUAUUACAACAUUCUCAUUCUUAAUAACCAUAAUCUUUCAUUAUAUAAUGCUAAAUUUGCUUCCUAUUUGCCAUCUAAUUAUACAUUUUUCUUCACUUUCAAAUCAAUUUUGAUUUUAUAACUUCUUUGCCCAACAUCCAAAACUACUCAUUUGGUAGUUAAUAUCUAAGAAUCAAUACUAUUGUAAUUCUCUGACAAUGGCACCAAAAUGUGAUUGUCAUUUUAUUUAUUCUACAAAUUUCUUUUAGAAUAAACCUAUAGAAGAGGAUUCAAAUGCACAAAAAGACUAACUGCAUGAGCUUACAUGUUAGGAUCACACAAUUAACCAUAUUCCAAACCACUAAAAAUACCAAAGAAUACUACAAUACUUUCUUCCACUAACAAUAGUUCUUCAUCAAUUGAUAACAACAAUGAUGUGCAACUCUAUAUUCUCAAAAGACCACUCAAAAUAUAUAAAUUCCAUCCAAUAUCAGAAAUAAAAAUCUUCUAUUCCAACCAAUCUAGCUUUACAUAAUUUUUAUAUUUUUAGACUUCUUUUGUUAAAACACACACAACUCUCAAUAGACAACAAUCAUAAUCUUUCAUCCAUUAACAAUCUCCUAGAGAAUCUCAUAACAAACUCCCAAUACCUUCUCAUAAUAAUUCAAUCACAUAGUACUUCAAUUACAUAUUCAAUAUCUUAUAAAUCAAUCUUUGAUUUAUUCCACAGAUUCACUUCACAGUGAUCAAAACCUAAAAUAAUAAUAUAAAUAAGAAAUAAGAGAUAGCACCAAGCUUAUCCCAGCUCAUGACUAUCACAGUCUGGUCCCUCCAAUAUCUUCUACAAUUACUAUAUACUUAUCCCUAAAAUUUCAGAUUCUAACUGUCAUUCCUUACUUAACCAUUUUUCACAACUAGUUCAUUCAUCAGUCCUAUUGAAUUGACUAUCCUAGGAAUGAUUAAUCUACUUUACCAAUAUCUUACGAAAAUAAAUUUCUAUCCAUUUUACACCAACCUUCUAUUUGUUACAUCAAUUCAAGUCCACAAGCUAGCACCUCAAUAGCUUUGAUCUUUUUGCAUUUCAACAAUAGUUUUUGAUGUUGCAUAUUGCCUCAAGCUUUUGUCACAUAUUCAAUUCCAUCUGGUCUCAUAUAUUUUGUAGCUCAAGGAAUUUCAUACUGAACUAAGGUAUUUUUUGGACUGACACCAACCAUCACCAUUACUACCAAUUGAAAUUGAUAAUCAAUAAGAAUAUGAAAUAGAAAGUAUUUUUGAGCAUCACAACCUUUGCUAUGGCAAUAGACGUCUGCAACUUCAGUACAAAGUUCUUUGAAAAGGUUAUUCCAUCUACAAUGUAAUAUAGGAACCCACACAAAACCUUACUUAUUAUUAGAAAACCAUUUAGAAAUACCAUUAGGAACAAAAUGAGGACGUUUUAUAUUAGUGGAGGGAGAUUAGCUAUAACAAGGCAUGGAUAGGAUAUUUGUAUUAUUUAUACAUAGAGAUAUGUAGUUGGAGUUGUUUUUGGAAAAUUUCUAGAAUUGAGGUUAGAAUGGUGGUUCAUGCAAGAUCCACCAUAGAAGCUUUUAGAAAGACUUAGGGCGGUUAUUAUGGUAGGUCCUAUUUCUAAAAUCUUCUAGAAUGGUAGUUAUCUUAGUAGAGUCUACCAUUUAAAGAAAUUUUAGAAAAUUCUAAAAUAGUUGGAUAAAGUAUACAUAGGACUAGUUGAGGUUAUUUAGGCAUUUGAUUAGGUAUGGCUUUAGACUCUUUUUUUCAAUAAAAUUUGAUUUUUUUAUUCUAUUCUAUUUGAUUCUAUUCACUUUUAUUCAAUCAUGUCUUUUAUAUUGUAUUCCAUUUAAUUACUUUUAGUUUUGUUCUAGUGUGUUUAGUCUUAUAUUAUAUCAAAAUCAUUAUUGUUAUGGAUUUGGUAAGAUUUUAGACCUUAAAAAAUUUGAUCUUAUUUUAAUUAAGCUUUAAUUAUAAUUUAUAUAUGAUUUUAUUAGAAUUUUAAGGACUUAUUGUUGCAAUUUUUUUUUUACCUUCUACAACUAAAUGCUUGGUGCAUUUUCAAAUAAUAUUUCAUAUAAUAUUUGAGUAUAUAAAAAUAGUAUAUAUAGAGAUAAGAGUACAAUCUUCUUUACUCUUGUUAAGGCCAUUUUAGUCCUUAGUCUUGUUUCAUGAUUUUUUAGUCUUCUUGUCUUUGACAAUAGCCAUUUUAGUUCAACAUAUUAUCAUCUUUGAGUGAUUUUUUAGUUUUUUUGAUUGACAUAAGAGUGCAUUGAGAUUUUCUUUCUUUGAGAUUCAUAUUCUUGAUAGUUUGACAAAAAUGUUAACUCAUUGUCUUUAAUUUGUAUUAGAAGUGAGUAAAUUAUUAUAUUUCUAUUAUUAUAUUUUGAAUAUUACAAACCACCUAUCUUUAAAUUCACUUUUAAUUUUCCAUUAAUUAUUUUUCUUAAAGAGAGGACUACGUCUCUUUGUAGAAAUUUUUAUUUGAUAUUAGAGGUUGCAAAUUAUCUUCUUUUAAUUUGACUUUUAGAUUUGUUUGAAUUAUCUAUAAAAGAAAAAAUUAUAGAUUCUAUUUUUAAUAAACUAAAAAUAGAUUUAUAACUAUUAUACAUCUUUAUAUACUUAUUAAUAUUUUAAAGGUAGAAAUUUUAUGUAUCUCUAAUAUCAAUCAUAGAUAUAGUAUUUUGUCACUUAUAGAAGAGAUUAAGAACAAAGUUCUAAGUUUAUGCCAAAAAAUUAUACAAUUAAAAGAAAUCAAUCUGAUAACUAAAUUCAAGAAGACUUACUACUCUAAGUAUGAGAGAGACAAGGAUAAAUAUGUCAAAGAAGUUCAAUAGAUCAAGAUCAAAAUUUUGAAGAUUUUUACAAUAAAUAAAGUUUUAUAUAAGGUUGCAUCCUUUUCAAUAUCCUUAUAGAUUCACUUAAGUUAGAUUUAUAGGUGCUUUUUUUUUUGAAAUUGCCUUUUCUUAGUUUGCACCUUUGAUGGAAAAAGAUUUAUGUCUUUUCUAUGAUCUCAAUUCAUUCUUAGAAGUAAUUAUGGCCACUUUUAGAAAAAAUAAUCAAAAAAUGGUAAUAGAAAUCAAACUUAUAUUUUUAUGAUAAAGAACAUGUUUAGAUAUUAUAUAUGCUGUCAAAUAACAAAAUCUUGCUUAUAAUAUAGAUUGAAAUGAUAAAGUCCUUCUCAAUCAAUUUCAAUAUGGAUUAAAAGAUAACAUCAAAGAUUUAUUAUUGAUAAUGCCAAGAACAAAUUCAUUAGAGAAAUUUAUUGCUUAAGCCAUUACAUGCAAUAAUUGACUUUUUGAAAGAUGCCAAUAACAAAGAUUUGAUUUAAUAGGUACAAAACAAGCUAUAGCAAUAACUUAUAAAAAACUUAUUCAUUAGGAUUGAAAUCAAUUCAAAUUGAUAUGAUAUGUUUCAAGCCUCUUAUUGAAUAAGAAAAAAAUCAAUGCCAUCAUGAAGGUUUAUGCUUCUAUUAUAAAGAAUCUAAGUAUAUUGUUUAAUAUUGUUCAAAGAAGUAAUGCAACCAUAAAAUGAGAAGCAUAGUUACUGAAGAGGAUGAUGUAUUAGAAAACAAGUUUUUCCAAUUACAAUAAGAAUUGUGCAAUUAGAAUCAUGCGUAAUAUGUAGUAAAGAUCCUAUUAUCUCCUCAAAUCUUUCAUCUUAUUUUAUAAUAGAAGUUUUUUUAGAGCCAAAAAAUCUCAAAGUCUUUACCUUGGUAGAUUCAAAAGCUUCAACUUAUUUUAUAAAUGAAGCCUUUGUAAAAAAAUAAAAAGUAUCUCUAGCCAAGAAAAAUAAAUCCAUAGAUAUAGAAGUCAUAGAUGGUCAUUUAUUGUCAUCUAAAGAUAUUAUCCAUAAAAAAAAUAAAAAAUAGAUGUAGCAAUUAAAGAUCAUAAUAGCUUAGUAAUAUUCAAUAUUUUUAGAUUCAUAUCUAAUCUAAUUAUUUAAAGAUUAUUGUGGCUAAAGAGGUAUAACCUUCAAUUAAAUUAAACUUCUUUUAAUUUUGAUUUUUUCCAUAGUUUAGUCCAAGAUCAUGCUAGUUGAAUAAAAAUCCUUAAGACUUAUACAAAAAAAUCUUUAUUAUUAGAUGCAAGUACUUUUAUAUAUGUAACAAAAAAAUAGUCAACUUUUGAUAUAUAUGCCAUACUUAUUUUUGAUAGAGAAAAGACUUAAAAUGAUAUUCCAAGCUAAUAUUAAAAUUAUUAAGAUAUUUUUGAGAAAAAGAAUGUAUAUAUUCUUCUAGAGCAUUGUUCUUUUUACUAUUCCAUUGAUCUUCAAGAUGAAACUUAAUUACUAUUUAAACCAAUUUGUAGUUUAUUGCAAAAUGAGUUGAUUGCACUCAAGGAGUAUAUUGACAAGAACUUAGCUAAAAACGUCAUACUUUAUUUUAAAUCUCCAACAUGAGCUCUCAUAUUAUUUGUGAAGAAAAAAACUAAAUCUUUGCAAAUGUAUGUAGACUAUUAAAGAUUCAAGAAGGUCACCAUUAUGAAUAGAUAUCUUCUACCUUUGAUUUCAAGAUUUUUUGAUCAAUUCAAUUAAACAAAGAUCUAUACAAAAAUAAAUCUACAAGGAGCAUAUAAUCUUGUAUGCAUCGAAAAAAAUAAAUGGGAGAUUAUAUUUUAAACUAAAUAUGGAUAUUUUAAAUAUAAUGUCAUGUCUUUUGAACUCAUGAAUGCACCAUGUAUAUUUUAGCAUCUCAUGAAUGAUGUCUUUUUUGAGUUUUUUAAUGAUUUUAUAAUCUAUUCUUUAAAUAAUAUUUUAAUUUAUUCUAAGAAUAUAGAAGAACAUGAACUUCAUGUUUGUUGCAUGCUAGUUUUUUAAAAAUACAAAAAUAGACAUCAAAUUAUCUUUAUUUAUUUAUUUUUAAAUUUAUUAAAUAAAAAAAUAAAAAAAUAAAGUAUUAGAAUAAUAUUUGUAAUAUUCUAUCAACAAUUAUCAAAUAAAUUUGACGACUUUUUUACUCUUAGCAAGAAUUUUAUAUAAUAAAAUAUAUAGGUAUAAUCAAAAGAAUUUAAAAAAUGACAAAAGGCUAAUGCCAUUAUUUUAAAAUAGAACAUCUUAUAUUUAAAGUUUGUAAUAAGAUAUAAUUACUUUGUCAUAAUAUCAAGACUAAUUAAUCUUAUAAGAAGCUUGAUUAUCAAAGAUUAGAUCCAUUUAUUAUCCAAAAAUAAAUUAAUUUCUUCUAUAUUGAUUACAAUUACAGCAAACAAUAAAGAUCCAUCUUAUAUUCUAUAUUUUUUUUCUUGAGUCUUGUAUUGCAAUUAAUACACGGAAAAAAUAAAAAUACUAUUAUUUCUUAUUAAAAUAAAUAAUAACUAAUAGUUUGAAGUAGGAGAACUCUUAGGUUCAAGAUAGUGCCAAAACAAAAUAAAAACAUCUUGUAGCUUAGUACAAAUAUGAUGUUAGUGAAUGCAUAUAAAAGCCAUAAAAAAAUCUUACAAAUGUGCCAAAAUUUAUUGCUAUUCUUUAUUGGCAACAUCUACUAAGAUCGUUGUUUAAAUAUUAAUAAUAUAAUAAUAUAAAUCAAGAAGAAAAAAAUUCAAAUUUUUACAUAUAGAAUAUUUUUGUAACAUGGAGAAUAAAUAGUCAAUAAAUUUAUUUUUAAAACUUUUAUUAAUAGAAUUUUUUAAUAAAAAAUUUAAAUUAUCUUUAUUUAGAUUACGUUAGAAAUUAAAUAAAAAUUCUUAUGAGAGACAUGUCAUUUUUUAAAUAAAUGGCAAGAUAUAACAUAUUUGAUACUAUAAUCUUAAAAAAUACUCUUGAUGCUUAGUGAUACUAUUGGAGGUAGAUACUAUAUAUGAUAGAAUAAAAAAUAUGUUAUUUGAAGUUAGUUACAAAGGCCUUAAUAAUAAUUAAAUAAUAAGAUGGUUUUCUAAUCUUAAUAUGAAACAAUAAAGUUCAUUGAAGGAAUCUAUCAACCACCUUUGUCUUAAAUAUAGAUCAAACUUUCUUGCUAAUAUCAAUUAAUAGACCUUCAAUUUUAUCAAUUUAUAAAAUAAAUUGAGAAUCUUUUCUAGGACUUGUUGCUUUGAACAUGAGAUAAUAUAAUGGACGUCUAGAUUUUUUUAAAUAAUUAUAAUAUAUAUAGAAGUAAAUAAAAAAAGAUAGAAAUAUGUUAGAAAGAUAAUAUGUGCCUUCAAAAGAUUCAAAUAUUUAAACUUUUAUAGCUAUGCCAUGUAGCUAUUUAAUUUUAUUUUAAAAAUUUUAAAUCUUGUUUUAUAAUUAUGUCUUCUUUUCUUACUUUCUCUAUUAUUUAACAACACAUACAUUUAAUGUCUUUUGGAUUGUAUUUCUCUAUUAUUUAACAACACAUACAUUUAAUGUCUUUUGGAUUGUAUUUCUCUAUUAUUUAACAACACAUACAUUUAAUGUCUUUUGGAUUGUAUCAAGCAUCAUGUCUAUAACAACUUGUGGUUUUACCCGUUUCCUUUUCUACUUGACUUUUGAUUGUUUCUAUUCCUCUUUGUAGCUAUUUGUUGAAAUUAAGUUUUACAAGCUUUGCAAGUUAGACCAUUGCAUCUCAACAUUGGAUCAUAUUGCACUUCAUCGACUAAAUCUAUAUAUGUCAUUCCAAAUUAAUCUGAGGGCUUGAUUUGCAUUACAACUACUUUAUCUCUUCUAAAAUAAAAUCCACCCGUGUAUUUCUAUCCGACUCAAAUACAGCUCCAAUGGGUGCUCAUGAUGUCAAUAUUAUAUCAGACUUCGGUACUGAUUGGUUUGAUUCCCAAGUCCACCAAAUCCCAUUCAGCUAUAACCACACCCAUGUGUCUCACAUUGAGUAACACCAUUGCUCGCAAGGUCAAUUUCUUACCCCUUCUUAUUACCAUCGCUGUUCAGACACAACCCCUCCUUCUCAAUCUGCUGAGACCCCAGGCACACCGCUGGUAUGACGUCACGACAACACUAAAGCAAGAUUCAGUAGAUGUCAGGGCCAAUCAACAGUGUUGCCAAAUUCCAAUCGGUCCGCUCGCCAUGCGCACACCCUACCACGUAAUUUGUGCAGUUAAUAGACCUCAAAUCUCAUUACCCUGCCGCUGGUCUGGGUCGAAGGUCCUGCACGGACGCUGCAUGUCGAGGUAACAGCUCUGUGCUCAGCCCUGUGCCGAUCAGAUGCAGCCAGUCUUUUAGAAGACCACCUUUUAGUAAGUACCGUGUCGAUGUUUCAUGGCCGAGAGGCUUGUGCAUAGCGCCGGUCGUCCAAGUCCAACGACGAACAGACCGACAGACAGAGCGCGAGAAAAGAAACAACCCGGUUGUAUAACAUCAAUGUCACACAAGGAGGAAGGACAGAUAUCUGCACAUUCGUGAAUCGUUCCUCCAUCCACACCCUCGGUUUUCGUGGGCACUCCCUCACAUUUGUACCCGACCACACAAAAACCCAUUGCAUGUACCGAACGGUGGAAACUCGGUCGUCGGACACAGGCUCAACCAAUCCACGAUUUUAUUGCAAAAUGGGAACCGUACAUUACAGAACUCUGGUGUCCACAACGGUUUGCACACAGCGGAGAGACUCUUCAUGAUGUGAUGUUCAAAACAAUAUCGAACCAAAAUUCAGAGCUCUGGGUUCUGAGUUUGGGUGACGCAUCUCCAACCGAACCGGACCGGAAACAGGGCAGGCGGUACAUGGUGCACGUCUUCGCACACAAUGCCCGAUCGAAGUUUAUCCAAGCGCUGAACGAGAUAUCUGCAAAGCCUCCCACUAGAACAAGAAGUCUGUCGUCAAGUCUGCCCGUGUUAUAGACUCAACCGCAACUUUCGACACGGACGUACACGAGCUCUGCCUCUGGAUGCCACCCUCUCCAUCACAUCAGAGUAGAAUUUGAUCACAGUUUGUUGCGAGGGAUCCUCCACAGGUCACUCGAAAUAAAGGUUCAAGGAUUGUACAGUUCCUGCAUUCCACAAACAGCGACAUUUUCCCGACAAGGUCAAUGUUCACUCACGUAACGUUGACCGGAGUACAGAGGUCGAGUGAAACAGUUGAAACCGACGAUCUAAUCCAUCCAGGGACCGAGUCACAAAUUUGAGCCCAUAACUCAAUCUCCAGGGAGUUUAGUGCUGUACAUCCAUCGUGUCGUUGAGCACAUGUAACACUUUGCACGCCGCUUGCUGGACUUCCUGGCGCUCUGCUUCUAGUUCGUCUUUACGCAGCAUUGCUUGCUUUCGAGACUGGCGCAGCCGCUCCGUGAUGUCAUCAGAGCUCCCUUUUAUCUCGCUGAAAAACAAACAUGUCGCUAGUCCUCCGUGAGCUAUUCUCGAACAAGGCAAUGAUAGUCCGCAGCGAAAACAUGGUGAAGCGCUAUGAUGGCAAACGGUUACUCGCUCUCAUGACCUCUGAACUCUUGGAAUGCAAAUGGAAUUGCGACAGGCGAGGUACUUAUUAGUGACGAAGGGAAAACACGAGUUCAAGUCAUGGUUGAUGUUUGGGCUCACUAUAUGAAAGGCUGCAACACUUCCUUCGAUGACGUAAACUGCUGGAUGCAGUCUGCGGUCACAAACGAGAACGGUGAGGUUCGACUCUUACCAGCCUCAGGCUCUCAUUACGCAUUCAACAUCUCAUCACGAUUACAUCGAUAGUACCCGGCAGGACGUCGCAUCUCGACGGAUAUGGCCAACAAAUGCGCCAUAUCAUCCUCAAGUUUGAUCGAGCGCACGCUACCGUGACCCGAGGCUCGGCAACAUCGUUGCGGGAUGGCAACGGUGUCAUGACUGACUGCUUACAAUUUCUCCACACACACGAAGACGUCACCUGUGCCGCUUACGCUCGCCCAACGAUUACCUGGUGAAGGCUGCGCCAUCUACUCCCCGCUUCGUCACAACGGAAUCAACGUUCACGCACUAGUUCCGUCAACCACAAGACGACUCCUCAACUCAGGCCAUUCUGCGUUCCCUCUCACCUAGAAUGAUCUUGCCUCGAUCUUGCACAUUCAAGAACAUCUGUGGAGCCCAGGUUUAGACCACAAUACCUUGCACCAAGGAGUUGAGACGUGCAGCGAUCAAAUCGCCAACAGCCUCGUCGGUGCUCCGUUCGCCAUUGCUAGUGCCACUGGUCCCGGACCAACUCUUGUGUGGAGCCGGUGGCCUGGACGAGCUCGGACCCGGCGACGAUUCCGCGUUUCCUUGAGACAGACUCUGAUUUGGAUUCGAGUUGUUCAUGGUGCGCAUUUCCGACCACGACAUACCUGCGCAAAAGGACUCUCCGAAACAGGGCCGCCCCGCGCUAAAAAGUUCUGGUGUUGUUUGCUUCCAAUUCGGCUGAACACGACAACGCCACAUUCGUGAGUUUGUAUUGGCAUGACAGAAAAGGUUUCACCAAUUCAAAUUGGCUCAAUGUUCUAACAGUCGACAACAUACAAUCUGCUUUGGUUCCUAUGUCUUCGAGGCACUUCUUGCAAACAUUAUGCACAGGCAUUCAUCAUCCAAACACUGCACUCACAGCCACUUCAAGCCCUCAAGGAAUGCACGCAUCGAAGAAAACAAAGAGCAGAAAGAAUAGAAGCAGACCUGACGAUGAUCCGGAGAUGGAAAUUUGACGAGAGAAUCGCCGUAACCUCCAGGUCGAAAUCGCCACAAGCGGCAGCAGAAGGCUGUGUGCCGCAGGGGACGCGCAGCUUGCGAGAGCGUGAGGGGAACAAGGUGACUCGGGAACUGCUGAAAGUAGGAAAUGGAGCUUCGGCUGGGGACUGAAUCUUGAAUGCCGCGAAAGUGCGAAGGUUUAAAUGAAUGCUCGGGCAGCAUGCACCACCACCAGUGUCACCUGAAAGCCAGAAUAUUCCGUUUUCUGGUUUGGCUGCACGAGCAGAAACAGCUCCGUAACCCCUCUACGUAUAUUCUCGUACAUACAUGUAGAGUAGCACGGACGGUAAUAGGAGCCACAACCUGCAGUUAUGGCAGCACGGACGCGGAGUUGUGUAGUGCAUGCGUGGGUGAUAUUCCGGGGUCUCACUUCGCAAGGCAUCCCCCGAUGGUGGCGCCCCUUCUCCGUGCGCGACGCUUGAAUCCCAAUCCUCAAUAGAUUUGAUCGCCACAGGAUGGCAAUUCCUGUGCUCCUUCCCGCACAUCCCACAGCCCGCUACCCUCCACAACUCUGUCACCUCCCGACGCGCCUCUCCUCCUCACUCUUUGAUUCAUAAGACAAGAACUCUGUUGGAACCCCCUGUUCCAUGGCCGCAGAGAGAGUAGGAGUGAGUUCGAUACCCCAGGGCGUUGUUCGUGGAGAUGGAACAUGAGUGCAGUCUCCGAAUUCGGGCUUCCCCCUUGCGACUUCUUCCAGAAUGCAAUGCCGCAACGAGUAAGAUGCACACACGUCACGCCGCAGAUCUUGAUGCUUGUCAUGUUCCAAGCUCGAUGGCCACCAUCGAAGAGUUUGGAAUCCGGGCUGCGUCACGCUCAGAAAUGGUUACGAAUCGGGGUACGAAUGGCGUGCUCAAAAGCAUUUCGAAACCUCGAACACUUGAGGCCUAGCAAUCACGACGACGGAGAAUCGAAUGCAAUUCCAGCAGGAAUGCCUUCGUCGUGGAGGUACUCAUGUCGAGAUAGUCGAUGCAGUGGCGGCAGUCCCACUCACGGAAUCAGUUCGGUUAUUUGUAAGGGAUUGGGCAGUUCUAGCGUACCAGCCGAUGACUGGCAAAGUUUGAGAAUCUAGAUUUGCGAGCACACUGUCCCCCACAAGACGACUCUCCAUCUUGGAGCUUGGGAAAAGGUCCGGCUGUCUCCUUGCUGGCAACACGAAUCCUAACAAGACCUUCGUAGAUUUGGCAUCCAUAUCAUACGUGCGCCAUAUCAGCCUCUACAGUUUUCAGAGGGGACAAAAUCUAAAGAACCGCAUCGAUUCCUGAGCCAAUCUGCAGAUUCUUCAGCUCGGAUGUAGGCUACUUUCUCGUUUUUGACAUCAUGCUCAAAGCAGGCCUUCCAUACCUUGUAGCAUAUAUCUCGCAUGCGUCUCGUAUCGGCACUUUUUGUCCUCACAGGGCUGCAAUCUAGAGAGCUGCUCCGCUUCCCGAGCGAAUCUGCACCACAUUCCAGCUUGCACGCUUGCUCAUACGCAUGCAAGAUGAAAUACCGGGAGAUGAAGACGGAUUUUCGGCACAAACGCACGAUACAUGCAAGGUUAUUCAUGCGGUUUGGUCUUGCGGCGCACACCCCGUUUGUAUCAUGUCCAGCAUAAACUCAUAUCACACUCAUCAUAUUCGACGAAAAUGUGCACUCGACACGGAGACCAGCAUGUGGAGAAAAGUCAUGAAUGGGUAACACUUUCAAGUCGGAUGCGGCGCUUCAGAUGCCAGUUCGCAGUUUGAAGGAAGGCAUGGAUUAAGGACGCUUGUGCGUUGUGUGAGUUCGUUCUCACGAGUUUGCAAUCCCAGCAAUCUUGAAAAUUUUAUUUUGACAAGUUUGCAAUCCCAGCAAUCUCAUGUUAUUUUGACAAAUUUGUAUGAUAUGGUGACUAGAGAUAAUGCUUUUUGAAAUGUGAAUUAUGACAACUAAUUCAUGUGCUCAAAAAAGAAUCUGACUUACAACUAUUUGAGAAUGUGUCUUGAAAUGAAAGUAGUUGUUUGUGUACAGUUCUAGUAUUGUAUAAUGACAAUGUAGGCCAUUUUGUGGUAAAAUUAUAGACUUUCUGUAUUUCUUACAGUAAUGAAUGAAAAUGUUAUAAUUAUGAAACUUUAAUUGUCACAUUAUAUCAUUUCAUAAAUUUUUAUUGGUAAAUGAUUAAAUUGUUGAUGAAUUUUCAUAAUAGCAUUUGGGAAUAUCACAAUAUAAUUGUCUGGUUCAUUAUAUUGAGAAUUGUGUGAAAAAGAUUUUAUGCUCCAAAAGUUGAUCAGGUAAUGUUUGGAGGUAAAGUUGAAAAGAGAGGAAGAAAAAUUGUUUCAAAGUAUUAUGGAAUGUUGUAGUAGUAUUGUUUAUAAAAACAAUCAAAAGAAUUCAAAAAGAUACUUUCAAGAUAUGGACCCUUUUUAUGAUGUGAAACAGAUAUAUGCAAGAGAAACUAUUGUUUUGUAGAACAACCAAUUUAUUUAAACAAAGUUUAAAAUGGCCAAUGUAUAUAGUAUCAAAUAUUGAUAUAGAAGAAUAAAGAACAUAUAGAUUUAGAAUAGAGCAUCUUGUUGCAAUUACUUAAGUUAGUAUUGACUAUGAUAAAACUAUGGAUGUUGUAAUAUCAACAUACAAGUUUCUAUGUGUUUUUCUUAUUAUAAAUUUAGUAUUUUUUUUAAAUAUAUUAUGACUUUUAUAGUACCAUAAACUCACCACAAAAAGUUGAGACUUGUGUUAUUUUAUUUAUUCUUAUUAGACUUAAAUCUUCUCUUUGACCACAAAAAGAAAAAAUAUUGGAGUAUAGUAUAAGAUGUAGCCUAUGACUUUCAAAACCACCUUUAAUCAAGUGAAAACAAUUAUAGAGUGUAGUUUCAAGUAUUUUCUAGAACUUUCAAGUCAAUCUUUUUUAUACUUAAUUAAUAUUCUUAGAUAUUUUAAUUUUAUCUUCAUCCAAUUCUUAUACAUAAAAAUAGUUUUAAUAAUAAGAUUUCAAAUUUAGAGUUUUUUAUUUGAAAGUGUUGUCAAAUUUUUACAUAUAUGUUAUUUUCUAUUUGUUGAUAGCAUCUCUUAUUAUAAUUAUUAUUGAUCAUAAUCACUUUAUGCUGGAGUUCAAAUUAAUAUUUGCUUGGCCAUCCACAAUACAUAUCCAAGAAGUCAAAGAACUUUCCACCAAGCUAAAGCAAAAGUACCCCAACAUAGAUUGAAGAUAAAAAUAUGGUAUUAGGAUAUUAUGCUAUGAUUUGGACUUUUAGUAUUGCCACUAGUAGUGAUGUAUAUAUAGGUUGUGAAUAGCUUGGUGGAUUUUCUUCAUAUCUUGCUGUAAGUGUGUUGUCAUAGCUCAUAGGUUUUUUAAGACCUAAUCUUGGAUGAAUGAUUAUUGUCUAUAUGAAGAAUUCAUGUAAAAGUAAAAUAUUUUCCAAUGACAAUAGUUUGAUUGCAAUCAAAAAUUUCAAAUAGAGCUAUGGUAAGAAGAAGAGUAGAAAUGUCAUACUAAAGCUUGACGUAAAGUUAGUCUUUUGUAUCAAUCAAGUGACAAUAAAAAAAAUAAAGAUAUAUGAUUCAAUGACUAAUUGCUCCAGACUAAUGUGCAUUUUAAUGUAGAUAUAAUAUGGUCUAUGUAGAGGAUUAAAAGAAAAAAAUAAAAUAAAAUAGAUAAUAUAAAAGAUUUUAUAUCUAUAAUAAUUUUUAAAUCAAUUUUAUCUAAAUUAUCUUUUUUAGAUAAUUUAUUUGAUUCUAUAUUAGUUUGGACUCUAGACUACAUAUAAAUGGAUAUUAAAUGAGAAGGUUAUCUCUAAAUCAAGUAUUAUGGGGUUGAAUUUUAGAGAUUUUUAAGUCUAGUACUAUAAAUAUGCUUCUAAUAAUUUAUCUUACUAUCAAUAUAACAAAAAAAAAUUAUAAUUUUAAAGCUUGACUUGUUUAUGAACUCGACAUGUGAUGCAUACAUUAUAUUUGGAGAAGACAAGAUUGACGAUUUGAGCUUGCAACUCCAAAGUUGAAUAGCAAAGCAAUUCAAGGUAUCAAAAAUAGCAAAGACAAAGGAAAAAUAAAAAGAAGAGGAUGAGAUGGGUUUGAAAUAAACAAACAUUGAGUUGGUGAUGAAUUAAGCAUGAAUAUCCAUAACAAAGGCUGCAGAGGCUCUCAAGGUAAUAAAUGAAAAUAUCAUUGAAACCAUUAUGGAUCUUUGUUGAUGAUAAUGAAUCUGAUAUUUUUUAAUACCAAAUCUUUGUUCCAAUCUAUGAUAUUGGCAAAAACUUCUGAAAUUUCUUUGACUAAAAAUAAAAACUAAAUCAAUACUUAUUCAGGUUUGAAAUGGACUUUACUUUUUUAAAUGUUUUAUAAAUGGUUGAAAUAAACUUCUUUUGGAUGACUUUCAUCCAAAUAACUUAAUUUUAAUUUCUUCUAAUUAUUAUGGUAAUCAUAUUUAUAACCAAAAAUAUGUGUAUAAAUAUCUUUUUUUAUCAUUGUAUUUUUUUAAUUUAUAUUAUUUUAUGAAUAUAUAAUUACUUGUACAAUUAAUUUCUACAUGAUAUUAAAAGAUUUUUUCUAAUUUUUUUUUUUUAAUUUUUACUUCUUUCUUUCUUCUUCUUAUGUCCUUCCUUGAAUUUAGGUUAUUUAUUUUAUUAUAGAUUUUGUUCUCAUAGAUAAAAAGAUUUCAAAGACUAUCAAAUUCUAAGGUGCUUUUAAUUACACCAUUUUUUCAUAUAAGAUUAAAACAUGCUUAUAAGAAAAAAAAUUGUGACAUGUAGUUGCAUCCAAUAUAACUACAAAAGCCUUGUUGACUACCUACUCUACAGAUUUUAUUGGCAAUAUUAAUCCUAAGUCAAGGAUAUGAAUUUCAAAAAAGAAAAUUUCAAUAUACUCUUGUAUCACUAAAAAAUAUUAAGAAAUCACUCAAAGAUCAUAAUAUAUUAAACUAAAAUGGCUAUUGCUAAAGACAAGAAGACUAGAAAGACUUGAAAUAAGAUGAUGUCACUGACAUAUACAUGUAAGCUAGUAAUUACCUAUAUAAAUAGGUAGAAGUAAGUAGAAGUAGGUAAAAGCAAGUUAAUUCUAUAAUAUCUUCCAUAGAAGCUUUCUAGAAGCUUUAUAGAUGCUGCUUUGACUUUAUAGGUGUAUUUAAUUGACUUUUUGGGUUAGAAAUGUGGUCGACAAGUUGGCCACAUGCCACACAUGUUGUUAGCUUGAGGAUCAAGCUAACUAUGUAGCCCACACGUAGAAAAAAUUGCCUUAUAAGUCAAAGCAUGUGUCCUACAAAGUCAACACACAUUGGAGGUUCUAUAGAACAUUGUCUUGUAGCCCCUAGUUAGAUAAUAUAUAUAAAGAUAAGAGUAAAGUUCUCUUCAUUCUUGUUAACUCCUUUCUUACUUCUAGUCUAGUUUCAAGAGUCUCAAGUUUUCUUGUCUUUUGGCAAUUAGCCUUUCCAAUUUCUUUUAAUAUAUGUAAUUCCUAAUUUUUAUUUUUUCACUCUUUUUUUGACACGGAUUUCAUUGGUUUAUAUAUCAUCUUUUAUUUCAUAUUCUUAACAGAUUGACAAGAGUACACUUACAGUAUCAGAGCUUUGUCUUGUCUUGAUUAAGAAUGGAUUAUCUCUUUCUCAUGAUAAGACAUAAGCAUAUUAGAAGUUGUGGAUUAUCUUCUUCUAAAAUAAUAUUAUUCUUAGUAUUUUUUUUGUCCUCAAGUUCUUUCUUUUACUUGUCUUCACUGAUAUUAGAUAUUUUUCUGAGUGUUAUUAUGGUAGAGCUUGUUAAAAUUAAGAGUGCAAUGGUACAAAUGCAAGAACAAUUGAAAGAAUUAAUGCUUGUAAUGCAUCAACUUAGCUUACCACCACAAAGAUCAACAAGAAUGGCAUGAAAUAAGCAUGUAGAAAUGAUUAGAGCUGCUUCAACAUCUACACCAAAUCAUGUCUCUUUAUCUACAAUGGAACAUCCUUCAAGUAUUAAAGAACCAAGAAUUACCCUGUCCGAGAAGUUUGAUGGUACAAGAUCCAAAUUUCGAGGAUUUAUCAAUUAAGUACAACUUGUGAUUGAACUUCAACCUCAAAGCUAUCCAACUCCAAGAUCAGAAGUUAGAUUCAUUGGUAUACUUGUUUCAGAUUCACCACUAUCGUAGUUUUCAUCUUUUCUUGAGCAACAAGAUCCAAUAUUGAAUAAUUUGGAAUCAUUUUUGGUAGAAUUUUGGUCCAUGUGUAGAGAACAUGUUACAACUCGUAUUACAACCAAUAAGAUCUAUAUUUUAUGAGAAAGAAAUCCAUUUGUAACGUUAUUUGUUUCACAAUUUUGACAACUUGCAACUGAUAUCAAGUACAAUGAUAUUGCACUUAUUAGCCAAUUUCUCUAUGGAUUACAAUAUGAAGUAAAGAAAUUAAUGCUCAAUUUACUUGAUCUUCAAACAUUGAAUCAAGCAAUUGACUUUGCUAUGAAAUGCAACAAUCAAAUUUUUAAAUUUCAAUCUAAGAGUCAUACAAAUGGGCCUCAACAUCACUAUAAUUUGAUGGCAACACCAAUAUCUCCUCAACACAUAUAUUUAGAAGCAGAGGAUAUGCAAAUUGAUACUGUAUGUUUUAAACCUCUUAUCGAAUAAGAAAAGACUUGUCGUCGUCAAGAAAGAUUGUGCUUAUAUUGUGGAGAAUUUAAACACACUGUUCAAUAUUAUCCAAAAAAGUGACAAAAUCACAAAAUAAGGAGCAUACAAUCUAGUACACAUUAAAGAAGGAGAUGAAUGGAAUACUACAUUUCGAAUUAGGUAUGAGCAUUUUGAAUACAACGUCAUGCCUUUUGGACUUAAAAAUGCACCAACAGCUUUUCAACAUUUGAUAAAUGAUUUUUUUCAAGAGUUUUUAGACGAUUUUAUCAUCUAUUAUCUAGACGACAUCUUGAUCUAUUCUAAGAACAAAGAUGAACAUGAACUUCAUGUUUGUCAUGUGUUACAAAAAUUAAGAGAUGCGAGAUUCUAUGCCAAGAUAAAAAAGUGUGUAUUCUACGCUACUCAAGUCGACUUCUUAGAAUACAUCAUUUCAAAUAAUGGACUUAUGAUGGAUCCCAAGAAAGUUCAAACAAUUAUAAAUUGAAAGAUUCCAAAAACGAUAAAAAAUAUCCAAUAUUUUUUGGACUUUGCCAACUAUUAUCAAAUUUUCAUCAAAGACUUCUCUCGAGUUGCAGCUCCACUUAAACGUUUGACUUGCAAAGACAAAUUUGAGUGGAAUAAAGAAGUUGAAGCAUCUUUUGAAACUUUGAAAUCAUCUUUUAUUUUUGCACCAAUCUUGUAUCGCAUUAACUUUUUUAAGGUAUUUUUUAUGGAAACAAAUGCAUUAGACUUUGCUUUGGUUGUUGUAUUAUCACAAAUGGGAAUAGAUGAUAAACUUCACUUAGUAGCUUUUCAUUCCAAAAAAUUUUCAGCAGUCGAGAUUAACUAUGAAAUCUACAACAAGGAUCUUCUUGAAAUCUUGGAUUCAUUUCAAGAAUGGCAUCAUCAUCUAGAAGGUACUUCUAAUCCAAUCACCGUUGUUGUAAUACGUGAAGUCUUACUUGAGAAUGCUCCGCGCACCUAGUUGUGGAAGAUAGAAUAAAAAUUGCAACAACAAAAUCUUAACUAUAAUAGAAUACUAAUUAAACUCUAAUUAGACCAUAAUAAUGCUAAGCAAGCUUUAAUCAAAUUCAAAAAAACCUCAAAGAAAUUUCAAACAAAUAAUAAAAAUUCUUAAAGAAAUAUUAGAAUGAUCACAAAUAUCACUCAAAUACAUCUCAAUUCAAUCUUAAUUUAAUUCUAGUUAAAACACCUAUUGAACUCCAUUCAAACUUUAGGCCAAAACUAAUUAAAUCUUAAAUCUUAAUAAAAUCCUAAAUCCUAAAUCAAACUCUAAUCAAACCCUAAACCUUAAACGAAGUCCUAAUAAAAUCCUAAAUCAAAUCCUAAUGAAACCGUAAUUCAAAUCUUAAACCCUAAACCAAACCCUAAAUUAAAUCCUAAAUCCUAAAUCAAAUCCUAAUCCAAAUCUUAAAUCCUAAAUUAAACCCUAACUAAAUCUUAACUAAAUCCUAAUCCAAACCCUAAAUCCUAAACCAAAUUCUAAAUCCUAAAUCAAAUCCUAACUAAAUCCUAACCAAAUCUUAAACCAAAUCCUAAAUCCUAAAUCAAAUCCUAACUAAAUCCUAACAAAAUCCUAAAUCAAAUCCUAACUAAAUCCUAAUCCAAACUCUAAUCCAAAUCCUAAAUCCUAAAUCAAACCCUAACUAAAUUUUAAUCAAAUCCUAAUCCAAACCCUA